UAAACAUCUGACUUGAGAAAUUCUAAAACUUUCUUCAGCUUAUGCAGCACUUUCUUCUUCUUGUUGUCCCAUUUUGUAAGCUUCUUGUUGUAAAUUGGAACAAAAGAAACCACUUUCUUGGCCAUAGUUUCGAUCAUAUCCAACAAUUCCAAGGAAUUUUCGAACACAAAGUUGUAGAUUACGUGAAUUUGGUGCUUAAAAGUCUAGAGAUUUGGUUUCUGUUUAUUCAGUUUCUUGCGCUUUUCUACUUCUAGGAAGUUGGGGGCGGUUAGAAACAGAUGUCAGCAAAUCCCACCAACAGGUGGCAGCACAGUUCUAAGUCCCUGAGUUCCCACUCUUUUGCUUGGAUAUUAUCCACAGACGCAUUUAUAAUUUUUUUUUAAAAUUUGCCAAAAUUACUAGUGGACCACUUAUUUUGAUUUUUAAGAGUAAAUCAAGAUAUUUGUUUUCUGCUUGUAUCUGUAAAACUUAAAAGGAAAUAUAUUCCUGUACUCGGUCGUAAUUUUUUUGUUUUUUCUAUUUUUUUGGUGGAUUAAUCUUUAAUUUGGAGACCUAAUUAGCUUUAGAUCCUGAGGUGAGCCUAAUUAAGAGGAAUUCAUGGUUGUUUCCAAUUUUUGUACGACUAAUUUUUUGCAUAUUUAUUUGAGAAUUUUGAGCAAUUGAAUAUGCAAUAAUCAUCUAAUAUUUCAAUCUUUAAAAAUUUAUUUUACCUUUUCUUAGUAAAAAAAUAUUUAAAUAAAUUUAAUUUCAAUUAUUAUCACGAGUCAGAGAACGUCCUAUUUAUUUCACUUUACUUCUUUUGACUUUGAAGUUCUCCGCCAGCAAAUCCAGAGUCCCUCCCACCGACCCAUUUAUGAUGAGUUUGCUCCAGCUCUGUCGAGGAAAAUUCCAGCCCAACAGAUUUUUUUAAUGGUUAUCCCCUGUCCUGUACCUCCACUCAAAACGAACCAUUUUCUGUUCUUUUUCUUGUAUGCUUGAGAGGAAUUUUUCCACUCCAUUUUCGUCUAUAAUGAAUUGUCAAUUUCAGGCAGGGACAAGGCAAAUUAAGGACCCUGAUAAGGUUGCCAGUUGCUGGCAGACAGAUUAGCUGGAGGGGUGCAGCAUCACAACCAUAUUUUGUUUACUAGAAAGGAUCCUUUUCUGCCAAUUCUAAUCCAGUGGAUUACUACAGAAGGAAAUUGUACAUUAAUUUGAUCGACUUCUGUUGCUACUAGUGACAAAUUAAGACAUUUAUUUAUGGCUAAUGGACACUCUACCUCUAGCAGAUGGCUCUGCAAAAGCUGUACACAAGAUGAUUAAUUCCUCUGAAGAUUAGGAAGCAGUACUUUCAUUUCUUAGUCUGAUAGCAUGGAGGGGAGGCAGCUAAAUCCACCAAAUCCUUUUUUUUUUUUUGGCAUUUACAGCAAAAAUUUCGGAAUUGUGUAAUUUGCUUUAGUAAAUUUAUUCUAGUAGGAAAGCAAAGGCGGAAUCAAUGGAAAGUGACUGGUUGAAAUGCUAUUUCAUCACUGGAAUGUAUAAACGGUAGAAUCGAACAAGACAUGUAAUCCUUAAGUUCUUUCUUGAUAAUUUGUAAUUCAAUAUUUUAGGGUGUAUUGACUUGAGCCAAAUUCUGCCAUAGCUGGCAACCUGUAAAAUGAAAUGCCAUAAUAAUUUUGUCAAAAACCAAUUCUGUUCUAAUGCUGAAUCAAUUUUCUGACGCUUGAGACUGGUUUCAGUCCAUGCUUCAAUGCUGCUUCCCAUACAACAUCAAUUCUAUCUACAUCAAUUGCUCCAACUUCAUGGUGAGUCCAACCUUCCAAGGAAUGAACCAGCCCACCAGCAUGGCAUGCAUGGACAACACCUCUAUCCAUGGUAUACUGUUUUAUGAUAAUUAAGCAGAAAACAAGAAUUAAGUUAGAACAAAUUAAAGACUUAGGCAAUCAAUUCGAGGGAUUUGCGUAAAACUGCUUACCUCACAGCAUCCUAGUCCUUCAACAUCUUCAGGUAACUUCAUAGCUGCUAGAUCACCAUACGUGCAGUCCCUUCUGAACCGCAGAAUUGGUGGAACCACAAAUUGAUGAAAAUGCGUCCCUGGUGGUGCAAAUCUUUGCUCUCUAGGCGUAAUCCACUUGCCAACAAUCCAUGUCUGUCAGGACAGAAGAAACUGAAUUGGACCUUAUAAAACGAAGGUAAUACAUUAUUGUGAUGCCAAAAAGUUUUUCUUACUCCUGUAACAAGUUUAUAGGUCUUUCAGAACUUGGUUUUUAAGGUUCAUAAUUGGUAUCAUACACGGAUUCUGUUAGCAAUAGUUAGCUGCACAAGGCAAUCGAUAGAAAUGAUAAUUCUGUGGGAAGCUACAAUAUCAUACCUUACAGUUCUGAGCAGCUUGGUACUUUGACACUUGGACUAGAUACUUCUGAUAUUCUGUUGGGGCUUCCUUCUGAAUCUUUUGAAAUCUUUCUGUUGAUAAUGUCAACAUCUGCAAUGGUGUUCUUACAUAUUUCAGUUCAUGAAACACCCUUACUAUCAUAGUCAAAUAGGUAGGAAAUGAAAUUAUUCGCAGCAUAACUUCUUUUUUUGUUUGGGGGGGGGGGGGGGGGGGAUGAAGUUGAAGGAGACAAUAAGGACUUGUUGAGAGAAAUAAUAAGCUUUGAAAGUGUAGUUACCAGAACUCUAACUCUUUUCCUGCACAGGUAAAGAGCAAUUGCUCUUCCAAGUUUGGAGGUAGAUCCGCUUAAGAAUACCUCUGUCACAUCGUCUGGAAUCUCAUUGAGAGUCACAGCUGCUGUUAGUGUGUUACCAUGAACAACUCUAACUUCAAGGUCUGGAUGCUUGUUCACAAACAGUGUACCACCGCCAUUCAGAGCCUCAUUCUGCAAGAAGAUGGAUUAGGAAACUAGAAUAGUUAAUUAAACCAAACCGUUACGAUUACAUAUUUUUACAAUUCAUACAAGCAUUCAUUUACAAUCUGCAAAUAGAAUAUAAACGGGCAGUCCAUUUUGCAGAUAAAAAGCUCAUUCUUGUCAAGGUUUCGACAUUGUUUAUCAAUGGAUUGAGAUUACUUUGCAAAAAUUUGCAAAUUGUUUUGAUCAAAAUUUUCUGAUCUAACCAUCUAGAUUCAACGUUGUCUUCAUUAAGACAACGUCAGAAUUGUUCAAUAUAGGCUCUUCUAUUUAAUUACAAUGGGCUAAUUUAACACUGCAGUGCGGGAAACAUUGAAAUGACACGAGUAUAUAUGACACAAAACUGUAUGAAAUCACAGAUAAAUGUAUGAAGGGCAAUGCUGACACAAUAGGUACUGUAUUUUGCAGGGCCAAAUUACGAAUUCCUUUCUUUUAUAGGGAUAAGGACAAACAUCUCAUACUUAUAUGUCUUCAAUUGGAUUUGCCAUUUCUCAAAUCAAGCCACAGUAACAAACAACAACUAAUGAAGAUAGUUUCAGCUAUCACAAUCUGUACUCAUAGAUACAGCAGGCCAUUGCAUGUGGCUUCCUUAGUAACAUUAACUCAUGCCAGACAAGUUCCCAACGGCCCCUAUUUUGUCACAUGGACAAAAUUUCAUUGAACUUGUGAGAUUGAUAUUACAAUCUAAUUCUCCUUUGACAUCAAAUGUUUGAUGAAAACAAGAAAAGGUUUUCAUUGAGCUUGUUCCCACUAGACCAGCCUACUACACCCUGCUGGUCUAGUAGUUUUCACGCCAGGAAUAAAAGAUUUUAAGCUUACCAAAAUAUCCAGCCCCAAGAAAAAAAAAACCACAUUUAACAAAUGAGUGAUGAUCAUGAGACUAGUUAAUUACGCAAUGUCAACAAUUUCAAUCUCAUAUCUAUAGUCGAUAUUUCUUUCACCAUGCAGAAAAACUUUUGUCAUGCAUGAGCUAAAAAGGUGAAACAACUGUACGAAAAGUUAGGGCAAUGUGACCUUAUUCAAUGCAGCAAGGCUGAUAACUUUGACUCCCAAUCUAUUAGCCCUUAGAAUAGCCUCCUCAAUGUGUUUAUUAAUGCCAUCAGCGGCAAACGGUAAAAAGUACUGCAGAAAGAAAGAAACACCCAAAUCAGGGAUUUUCCUGGAUUCAGCAAAGAAUGCUAUAUAUCAUCAACUGAACUUAAUAAAUGAUCACAAACCUGAAAACCAAAGCGAGGAACAGACCAAGUUUGAUGCAGCAUGCCUCUGAGCUUGUAGAAGGAGACCAAGAAAGUUUUGGACUUAGCCCACAUCAGAAGCAUUACGACAAAGCAAACUGGCAACCAAGGGAGUAAGAUAACUCUAGUUGUGUAGGGCAUGGAUCCAUAUGAUCUGAAUACAAAUUGGGCGUGCAUGGCUGAGGUCAUGUCCACCACAUGAGCCAAGAACACAAAGUCUGGCACCCUAGAAUUUUUACCUGCAUUGGAAUUCAUGUCUGAUCAAUAUCAACUAGAAGUUGGUGAAUAGUAAUUCCUGUACCUUUGCCUUACUGGAUAAUAAAGAGAGUAGCAGGCUGUACAAAUAGGUUAUGUAUGGACCUCAUAUUUAUUGUUCAAAGUUACGCUUUUUCUUAGUACGCUUUUUCUGAUAAUUGAUUUGUUUCCAUUGUGGCUUGCUCUAGAUUUGGGACCAUUAAUGAAUGGCAUACUACUCUUUCCCACUGAAUUUGUUGUUGCCAACGAGAGUCCAGUCCUCUUGGGGUUUUUUCUUAAUUUUUUCGGUUAUAAUGGACAUUUUCUGCUCUGGUACGAGAAAAAAUAAUCAAAUAAAUUCUCAAACUUUCAAGAGGAGGCUCGGUGGAUCUAAGAAUCAGAAGCCUUGAAUCAAAUUCCUCUUCCUGCUUCUUAAAUCCCUUCCCUCCCAUGCCAAAAGAAAUUAAAACAAAAACUCUCAAACUUCCUACAAAUAUAAUGGGCAUGAAAAGGCAAAAAUAUUAUCCCAUCAUGAUAUGUUUUUGAAGAUUAUACCUGCGUCUAAACUGAAUUUCUUGUGCAUGUCCCAUGAUUUGCUGUUCAGGGUGUUGCCUAGCAGAUCAUAAAUGGGCAUGAAAAGGCAAAAAUUGGUACCCAUCUCCGUGUGGUGCAGGCUGUGAUAUCUGCAAUGUCACCCAAAAAAAAAAAGCGAAUGCUGCGUUAGUGUGGUUAUCUACAUCAGAAUUCAUGUGCAGAUGCCACAGCCUUUGAGGCAGGUGCACCAAUUUUUGUACGUCACUUGCUUUCUUCCAGUGCUAAAAAUUUAAAACCAUCUUAAAACUGGCGGAAAACAAGGACGCCGAACCCCACUUAUUAACUAUCCACUAAGUUGGAUGGAUGUAUUGGAAGCUGUAGUUUCAUGAUUGGUUCAUCAACUGCCAGUCUUUAAUCUCAAUAAAUUACUAGGUCUCGCACGGUAUUACUCUUUUGGAUGUACUAGAUUUUGAAAGUAAAUUUUGCCCAUUAAAUAAAUUUUCAGCUUUAAACAAAGUGCAAGUGUGUACUAAAGACCAGCCUAUUAACAGUUCUCCUAGAACUUCGGAAAUUGUUUUGUAGUAAAGCAAAUUGAACUAAUAUUUAAAAUCAGCCGCAUUUUUUGCCUCUUUGUACCGAACUGUCUCUCUUAGUCCCAAUUUAUCUUAAUAAAUAAUCUUGGUAGCUACAAUUUAAUAAUUACUCUAUAAAAACCUUCUUACUUACCGCGUCAAGAAUGUUGUCUAACUUCUCAAAUUAUUACUAUAAAACAUUCUACAGUGCUCCAUAACUUUGGGAUCACUCUACUUCUUGCAGAACUAUAGACUGCGAAAAAAGUAAAAGAAAAAAAAUUUUCCAAACAUGCAUAAAAUUAACCUUGCAGUUACUUACGUUGGCGAAUAUAGGAGGUAUCGAAGAAAAGGGAAUUUUUCAAAUAUCUGAUGGGGCAAGAUUUCGGUAUUGCAAUGCCCUAAAGAUCUUAGUAAAUCGAAAAUCAAGACGUAGCCAUAGAUCAUGCUUAUUGAUCCAAGUCCAAGAAAACAAGCCCCAACAAUAGGAACUCCAAUCACAACAGCCAACACAAGAUGCUCAAGAAGUGUGAGAUGGCCAGCUGCAUAUUGAACAACAAAAUUAUCAGCAAGUAAAUCGAAGUUUUGGGUAGAAUUUAAAUCUAAAAAAUGGGUUUUGAAGUUCCACCUGUGAAGGGUUGAGGGACAGGAGAGGAAUGAUGGAGUGAAUGGUAAUUGGUGAACAGAUACUUCCCGUGAAAGUAUUUAUGCGUCAAGUAAUAUAGAGGCUCCGAGAUUGCAAUAUGGAGCAAAACAACAGCAACGAAGCCUCUUGUGUUCCAUAGAGGAAGAUCAGCAAGAAACGGGAACUUGUAGAAGAUUAAUGUAGCAAGAGCUGCUUGAAGCAAAAUGAAAUUAUCCCUGAAAAAUAAAACCAGCAAAUGUCAAACUAAAAUUGCACACAACUAUUGUUUAUUAAAAAAAAAAAGUACAAAAAGACCAGCAUCUACCAGUCCCAUUCUUUAUCAAUCUGCUUAAAAUCUACUCCUUCUUUGAUGAUCCGGCGAUUUCGAGUAAGAAAAAGCAUGUUGCUGUAAGCGGUCCAUGAAUGAUACAUGAAACACCUAAGAGUACAUAAGAUUAGAAUGUGCAGACACCAAAGGGCCUGGCUGCAGGUAUCUUCUUGAUGCCUUGCAUGUAAGAUCUUUGCAAGAAACGGUCCAUAUAGGAUAUACUGUUCAAAAGAAAUGAAACAAAAAUGAGCAUCCAGCACUAAAAAACAUGAAGAGCCGUUCUUGUUUUCUUAGACAGAUUUAAAGUUCUGUUACCUUGAAACUUCCCAAGCCUUCCCAUGGCCAUGUUGACAAGAGUGCAACCAUUUUCCAAGUCGUACAAUCUUUUCUGGCUCUGUCUUUCUCUUAUAGGUGUAAAUGGAAAUGGAAACGAUUGAAAACCAGAGAAGAGAACCAAGAGGAAGAAAUGGAGAGGUUUUGAAAGUUUGGCUUGGUUCUCUUAUCGACAAGCAAGGUGUAAAAGAAGUCUCUCUUGCUCUUUUUUCUCACCCAAGGAUUAUGUACUUAUAUACUGAGCUAUCAACUCCAUUGAUUGCAUUUUAGUUGUGUCCAUGUAAUAACUUUGGAAGACAAGUCAGGUGUGAAUAUCAAAUGUAUCGAAUUCGACGCGUUCAUCUAUGUACUACUCUUACAGUACAAUAUGGCACAGCUGUGGUCCUGGCCACUCUCAGAAUUUAAUGCACCUAUAGUUCUAUGUAGCAUUUUUGCGUGUCUUGGAGAUGUGGAUGGAGUGGUAUUUUUUUUUUCUUUUAAGAAAAUUACGGAGUACUAGCUAAUGGAGAAUUCAAAUUCUUAUCUUGGGGGGGAGGUGGGGGUAGUUGCCUUGUCUAAAUAAGGCACUAGCAAUCUCUCAAAGAUCAAUAGUAAUAAUAUACGAAACCACCCAAGUCACUGAAAAAUGCAUCGAUGGCCUACCCUGUUUUUUUAAAUGGAAUAGCUUUUUAUUUUCUCCUAAACUUCUUUUUUUUUUUUUUUUAUUGAUGAGAGAUUCCUAAUCUUCUAAGAGAAAAGUUGAAAAGAGAAAGACUUAAAGUCGCACUAGAAUACUCGUGAUCACUUAAGUAAUGAGUGUGUUUAGAUAGGAGAUUGAUUAUUUGAAAUAACUAUUGUGAUACUUUUUGUAAUGUGGUGUAUAUAAAAUAAAAAAAGUGUGUUGAAAAUUAUAUUUGUGAUAUAAGCAAAUAAUUUGAAACCUAAUAAUGGCUAUAACAAUUAUAUAUGUUGAGUCUUAGAACUUAAUUUUCUUGCGGUUUUCAUGAAUUAAGAAGAAAUUCUUUUCUUGUCUUUUGGGCAAUUGACCAAAUUUUUGGUUGUAUAGGCUGGAUAUUGCCUGGUUAGUAUAGUUGAUGAUCAGUCCUAGGAGGAAAACGACAUGACUUUCCCAUAGCCACAAAAUGCCAAAGAACUUUCCCUCUUUAAGGCCUUUUUGUACUUGAAAAAUGUAAAAAAUAAAUAAAUAAAUAAAUUUUGAAAAAGAAAAAAAUGUCAAUUAUUUGAUGAUUCACAAGAAAACUUGUAACAAAGAAUCAGAAUGGUAUCACAAUCUAUGAUUGACUUUCUUUCUCCCAUAUCUUCUUGCCCCCGAUUUAAUCUUUUGGUUUAACCAGGUGAAACAGAUGUUGUAUGCAUAUUAAUUUGUUGAACCGACCUGCUGGGACUCUUCUUCAAUUUGUCUUUCCAACCACUAGAGGUAGCCUGCUCUUUUUUCCAUUGAUUAUUUUAAUGCCGGCCGUAAUUAAUUAAAUCUUGUUGAGGAGGUCCAAUUGGACCUACCGGUUUCGUGAGGGAUAGCAUGGCCGGGGCUGUCAUGCAUUCAAUUCAUCAAGAAUUAGUGGAUUUGAUUUGUAUGGUGCUGAUGAAUUGUGCCCAAAACAUUUGCUUGCCUUAAGUACAUCCACUUUUCUUUUUUUUUUCCUCCCCAAGGUUUAUCGAUCAGCCAAAUGGCAGCUUUUCCUAACCGGAAAAUAUCUCAAUUUAUUUGGAAAAUACUGGCCUUUUCAAAUUGGAUGAUUCCAAAUUCCAUUUAGCAUCAGACAGCACAUUCUGGAAACACUAAUCAAUAACGCCGCAACAGUACAUGAGAUUAAUUUUUGGAUUAGCAUGUCAUGUGUUUCGAGGUUGUGGUGUAUAAUCACAAUCUGUAGUAAUUGCCAAAUCGAAUGGAAAAUCAACCACGUUAUAUGUACGUACAGAAGUUCUGCUUAAUUAUACUACGUACAUGAUGGACCAAAAAGAAAAUCGAAGAAUGAUAAUAAAUAUUUGGAUGUCCAAGUGCAGUGGCCGGCAAUGGAAACCCUGUGUUUUUCGUUUUUUAUAACACUUUUGCGGACGUUCAAUGUUCUAACCAAAUCAGCUUAUAUGCUUUUCCUAUAGGUUUUUUUUUUUUUUUUAACGCACUUUUAUUUCAAUGUCCGAUGAAUUUUGACGGAUUAGGUAACAAGGAUCAGUGAACUUUGGAACCUUUGAAGCUAGCUACUAAUCUUUUUUUUUUGUCUGUAUUUGAAAAUCCUUUUAAACCUACCAUUUGUCUGUACUUAACAACCACAAUUAAUACUUCAACUUCGCAUCUCAUGAUUUUGAAAGACGGCUCCUAAUUAAUAAGGGUUAGGAAAAAGUAAAGGCGAUAUUUUCAGCAAUGCAUUACAAAUUUAAUGUAGCUGUGUGCAAUUUGCAGAGUCGUGUGAGAGAUUUCUGUCCAAGGGAAGGGAUUCCCGUGAAGGUGUUCGUAUUGUCAACUAUGGUGGGCACAACUAAUUCUAGGCAACUAAUUCUAGGCUAAAUCCAAGAACUGUCUACCAAACACUUGUUAAUUAGCCAACCCUUUAUAUUUAUAUAUAUACAUAUAUAAAUAAAAUCUUUAAAUUCUAGCGUUAACGCUUCAUUACUAGGGAAAAGAUUUUGCUUCAAAGCUCAAGCCAAUAACUUAAUUGAACUUAAUUUGACCAUUUCCCGAUACGAAGUAAACUUAUACCUGUAUGAAAAAUUAAACAUCAAGAAGAAAAAGUUCAACGAGAAAAUUCCCCAGUAACGUAAAUAAAAGUCGAGUGUAGCCAUCAACCAUUUAGGGCUAGUAUUCUCCGGUAGCAGAUGGGCAACUGGUUGUCUUGGGCCGAUCAUCCCGUUUGAUCUGUUCAACAUUGACACACAGUUGCUUCUCCAUGGCAUUUUCAGGACAAAAAAUAGACGGGUCAAUGACGUAUACAAGUCCAAUUCCUCAUCUUUGGGGCAAAUGAAAUAGUACCCACUUCAUGGACAAUAAAUUAGGAACAAUCAUUCACGCACUAAUAAUAUAUAUAAAAAAAAAAAAAAAAAAAAUUCUACACUAAACGACAAUAUAAUAUGUAGAAAAAUUCUAUACUAAACGACAAUACAACUUAAGCGUAGAAAUGAAUUAAAAGAUGACCCGCCUCCUUCAUUUUAAAGCAUUCAUGUUUGUGUCUAUCAUUUAAAAAAUCAUGAUUUUAAAUUGUUUUUUUUGUAGACAGACUCGUAUAUAUUAAAUAUGUUUAAAUGUAUAUUAUAAAUACAAAUUUUUAAAUUUAAAUUUAAAUUAUUUAUCAUGUAUUUAGACCUACUGAUGUAUGUACUGUCUGCAUCUGCAUGUAUAAAAAAAAAAUUAAUGCAACAAAUAAAGAAUUACUAGUCUCUACCACCUCUCUGUAGUCUCUAAUUACCAUCAACGAAACCAGCUUAUGCAUAUGACAGCGCGCACAUUUCUUCACAGCAGCAUCAUUAUCGAACCAGAACAGCUAAAAUGUUACAAGCGGCAAGUAAUAUGCGCCGAUUUCAAAUUCGAUAACGUGCAAGUUUUGAAAUUCUCUUUUGGACUAAUUUCGUGUGAACUAGCAGGACUGAUUUAUUCUACAAAUUCAAAAACCAUGUAAAUCCAGAUCAACUUGUACAAAUAUAGACGAGACGACGGUUAAGGUUCUUGAUUCUGAAUUUUGCCAAGAUAUUUAACCAUUGCACACCACAUAUUCUGAAUUCAGCCCCAUGUUCAUGAUAAACAUAAGUAACUACUUCCCACAUGUUGAUGGUUUUAGUUUCGAUCCACUUGCGGUGCCCACUUAUUUAGUUGCAGGCGUACUGAUCUGCAGCAUCUUUUGAUAUUUCUCAUUCGAGCUGCAUUCAUGACUAGACGUCUAGGGGAGGAAUAAUAACCACAUGUUUUCUUGAAUCUUUGAAAGGAUAAGGGCCUUGUUUAGAAGUAAGUUUUUUGUCAAGUUUGUCUAUUGUAAGUUUUUGAAAAAUUUUAGUUACAGUAACUUUCAAAAAUUUUCAAAAUUUUUAAACUAUAUAUUUCAAAAAAAUUUUUAAAAACUUCUACAGUAAAAUUUUAGACAAAUAUCCAAAAAACUCACCUUCCAAACGAGGUUUCGUGGGAUAAUGAUGCAAAGCAAACACUUUCAAGCCAAUUUUAUGUUUGCAGCCGUAGAGUUAUGGAGAACAGAUAAUUGUUCCAAAUGUCAAGAUAUCAUUUACGUAAAGAAUGAAACUUAUCAUGUGAAUACCCUACGUAGCCAGCUGUCGCCAUACAUGCAAUUAAAACUACAUCAUUUUCGAUCAUGCCAUACUUUUGAGUGUUCAUUCUUUUGUCUGAACAACAGCGCUAAUUAGAAGUAACUAUUCCUUAGGCAAUGAAAACAAUAUAGGAUCCCUGUUUCUAGGUUCUUCUUCUUCUUUUUAACAUGCGAAUGAAGGGAUUUGUUAUCAAUACCGGCGACUGGGACGAAGCGAGGUCCGUAUGUAAAGCUUUUUCAUAAUUUCCUGCCGGACAUUGGGCAAAACUAGAUAAGUGACAUAUGGAAAACCAAGAAAUAGUUGCAGUUGCAUUGGAAAAGAAAUAGUGUUCCACCAGGGACCAGGCUAGUUCAGUACCAUGUAAAAGCUUUUCAUAACCUGGAAAUGAAGGGAAUUGUUAUCAAUGCCAGCCACUAGGGACCAAACUAGUUUAGUAUGUUAAAGCUUUUCAUAUUUUCUUGCCAGAAAUAGUGCACAAAACUAAAUGAUGUUAUCAGUGAAAUUGUAAGAAAUUGAGAAUCAAGGAGUAGCUUUGCAGUUUGGAAUGUCAUCAGUGAAAUAGUGUUGCAAAAUUGGGACCAAGCUAAUAAUUUGGUAUGUAAAGUAGGGGUGGGCACAGAUCGGGUACCCGCCCUAAUAUGAUUUAGCUGACCCGACCCUAAUAUUUUCGGAUCAACCAUUUUGUGACCCUAAGCCGCUCCUAAUAUCUUCGGGUACCCGAAAAAAAAAUGCGGGUCAUAGGAUACCCGCCUUAUGACCAGCCCCAAAAAAAAAACUAUUUUUCAAUAAAAAAUUGCUUUCCACUUAAUAUCAACAUGUUUUUCAAUUAAAAAAACAUGGUUUCCAAUUAAUAUUAGUAGAGAUAUUGUAAUUAAAGUCCAUACAUCACCAUUUUCACACAUUUCAUCCAACAAUCAAAUCGAUCUCAUAAAUUUAGUAUAUAUUAGAAUUAUAAUAUCUAAUAGAUAAAACGAAGUUUCAUAAUAAUUUUGAGUACAUCACCAUUCUCACACAUUUCAUCCUUCUACAACACAACAAACACAAGGAUAAUAAGUAUUUGGCAACUUCCCCAACUUCCUUAAGGAUGUUAUGGUACAAGAUUGCAUCUCAAAUAAGUCGAUAGUGAAAUCAAGUUCAGAAAAGAAUUAAAUAGACCUAAUUAUUUUUGAAAAAAGUAUAACAAAAAUAACCUUGAAAAAUCUUCCCCAGCUUCUUUACAUCUUUGGAAUAGACCUUAUGGUAUUAAAGGUGAUGAAAAAGAAAAAUAAAUUUCUUACACUAAAUAAAAGAGACAAAUUUAAGAGACAUAAUUGCAAUAAAAUAAAUCAAAUAAAUCAAUAAAUGAAAGACAUAAAUGUUUUAAUUAUCUAGCUAACAGAAAAUUGAAACUCCAAACACAAAUCUUUGAUUGAAUUGAUGCAAAAUUUGCAGGAAAGAUCGAUGGAGGUAGAAUAAAAAUAAAAAUGAUGAAAGGGAUGAACAAUUUUUAUAACAGAGUUUCACAAUUUUUUUUUUCAUUUUGUUCGUUUGGUUCAUGUUUCAUCGAGAAUAUUCGCUUUCUUCAAACAAGAUGAGGAGAUGUGGAUCAUAUGGGAUUAGAAUAUAAGUCUUUGAGCCACUUCACUUGCACUUAGAAUUAAAAAUUAUAAAGUUAUAAAAUGAUGCAUAAUUUUUUAAUAUUUAUAUAAUAUACCCUGCGGGUUUGAAUUUUUCUAAUCCGCAUCCGUAUCCGAUUUUUGAGGGUACCAAACCCUCAUCUACCCCGCUAAGAAAAAUCGGAUCGGGUAUCCUAUUUUUCGGAUUGGGUUCAUCGGAUUUUCGGAUCGACAGGUUUUUUUGCCCACCCUUAAUGUAAAGGCCUUUCAUAUUUUCAUGCUAGAAAAAGUGAACUAAAUGAUGUCAUUAGUGUGACAUUAUAAGAAAUUGCGAACCAAGAAAUAAUGUUGAUGUUGCACCGUAAAGAAGCAAAGAAAAAGAUAUAGCUCUGCAUUUACACCAAAGUUGUCCGGUUUAGAUUGCACUUUUACAAGUUUUUCGGAAUGUUUCAAGUAAUAGUUUCAAAAAACCAAUGGCCCUUUGGACUGUUGCCACCUCCAAAGACUUUAAAUAUUGGUGGGGUGAGAGGUCAAAAGUUCAAAUUUUGCAUCCCAUUAAUUUGCCACUAUAUGUGGCUUUUUCUAAAUUCAUACAAGUACGUAAUGCACUCGUCUGGUCCAAUGGUGGUUCAAUCCCCAUCGAUUUCUCUAGGUCUCGUUGGACCUCUCCCUCUCCCCCCCACCCAAAAAGUGUAAGCUAGAGUAGGAGUCGAUUAGGCUAAUUGUUACCGUCUAAUAAAAAAAAAGUAACAGUAUCAAAAGUGAUGGACGUGAAAUAAGAAAAUUAUUUAUAAUGUGUCCAAAAAUUGUUUUCUAGAAACUUACAAGCCAAACAAGUUUACAUCAAUUCCAAGUUCCUACGAGAUUUUAUAUACAGCAUUCCAACUUUUAACGAGGUCUUAAUGAGUCUUUCCACAAGGUAAAUUAUUAUAAUUUCUUUUUGAAGGAAAUUAAACCAAACUAUUUUAGUAUUUAGUUUCUUAAUUUGGUUUGAUAUUUUAUUUAUUUAGUUUCUGUAUUGGUUUAGGAAAUAUAAAAUCAAUUUUUCAAAUAAAUUUCGGUUUACAAUUGUAUUUGUUUUAGAAAAUUUUGAAAUCUAUAAAAAACUACCAGUUUAGUAGGUUAUUAUUUGAAGAGUUGAGUUGAAUCUUGAGAGUAGAUUUGAGAGAAAGUCUCACAGUUGAGAUUUAUAAGUUAUCGUGAGUGAAAAGUUACGACUUGAUAUUAUUAUUGGUUGGGUUUUGUUGAAAUUUGAGUUAAUUAAAUUAUUGAGUAUUUGUUCUCCUCCAAUUCCCACAUAUUUUUAUAUAUGCUCAAAUUGCUUCCGCUGUGUGGGGCGCGUGAUUUUUCGUGCCAAUAAGUGAUAUCAGAGCUCUAGACUUUGAUCUUGGGGCUUGUUCGUGAAAUUAAAGUAUGGAUCCGUAUUAUUGAUCAUGUUGUGGUAUUUUUAUCUUUGAUGGUAAAAAUGAUUUUGAAAUUUGGAGUUUGAUGAUGAAAAGAUUUUUUCAUGUUAUUGGAAUUUGGGAUACUGUUGAGAAGGGGUUCACGGAACCUAAAGCAAGCUCAAAAUCAUUAAACGAUCUAAUUAAAGAAUUAAAGAGGAAUAGACAAUUGGAUUGUAAGACAUUUCACUAUCUCAACACUCAAAUCCAGUUGCAUGUAGCGAAUAAAUUUAUACACGCAAAGACAGCAAAGGAGGCUUGAAUAUUUUUAAUAUAUUUCUAUAGUCAUGGUAGAGAAGAAAUUUGUGAUGAAAAAGAAAAAAAAGAAUAUUUUAAUAAGUCAAAGAAAGAAGAAAUUGCAGGAACACUUAAAGAUGAAGAAUUUGUGAUUGAAAAAAAAGUUCGCAAGUGUUUAAGAGAGAAAGUGAAAUUAAAGAUGUGAUUGAAGAUUAUGACAAUACAAAGAUUAUGACAAUACAUAAGUUAUUAAUUUUGUCGAGAUUGAUGAUUUUCUUGAAGAGAAGUGAUAGAAUUGAUUAAAAACAGUUUGUGAAGUGGACAAAUUAAUCGAAAGUUGUGAUACUGUUAAAAGUGAUGCAGUUGUUAGUGCUGAAAAAGUAAAGGAAAAACAUGAUGAUGUUAAAAACAUUGGUAGCGGCAACUAUGAUUUUUUGGUUUUGGGAGAUUUUAUUAGUGAUGUAGCUAAAUUAAAUUAUGAAGCAUUGAAUGAAGAAUGGGUGGAUAUGUUUGAAUUUUUUCAUAAGAGUAAUCAAGUCAAGAAAUUGAUCGAAAACUACAAAUUUCGUCCAUUCUUGCGCGUGAAGAUAAAAUUGGAGAUCAAUUACAAGUUGGAGUUCCACGUCAUCUAUACAGCAACCAAGUUGUUCAUGGAGAUUCAAACUCAUGAUGGCAUUGGAGAUGACAACAUUAAGAGCUUUGUUUAAGGGAAGCAAUGAAGAAAAUUAAACCAAACUACUUUAAUAUUUAUUUUCCUAAUUUGUUUUGAUAUCUUAUUUAUUUAGUUUCCGUAUUGGUUUAAGAAAUCUAAAAUUAAUUUUUCAAGUAAGUUUCGGUUUACAAUUAUAUUUGUUGUAGGAAAUUUUGGAGUUUAUAAAUACUACCAAUUUAGUAGGUUACUACUCAAAGAAUUAAGUUGAGUCUUGAAAGUAGGUUUGAAAGAAAGUCUCAUAAUUGAAAUUUAUGAGUUGUCAUGAGCCAAAAGCUAAAACUUGAUAUUGUUAUUGGUUGGGUUUUGUUGAGAUUUGAGUUAAUUAAAUUAUUGAGUAUUUAUUAUUCCUUCUCUUCCCACAUAUUUUUAUAUGUGUUAAAAUUGCUUUUGUUGUGUGUGCGCGCGAUUUUUCGUGCCAACACUCUUUAAUAGAGUAGUUCAUGAAGUAGACUAUUAUAAUUAAUCAGUAUGAUAGUAGAAGUUUUUCUUUAAUAUGAACCAUCUAAUUGCCACGGCCAGUCAUGGUAACCUACAAUUUUGAAAAGAACCCGCUUUUAGUAGCACGUAAUUAAAUUAGAUUGAAACUUUCAUAUUGUUCCGCCAAUCACCUAGGGCUGUCAACGGGCCGGGUCCGGGCCGGAAUUCAUUAUUCCGGAUCCGGACCCGAAUUACUAUGCCGGAUCCGGAUCCGACCCGUUUACCCGACGGGUCUUUUAUUCUAUGUUCCGGAUCCGGAUCCGGGUCUACCCGAACAAAUUUACCAAAAUUUAUAAUUUCUAAUAAAAAUGAGAAAAAAAUAUAUUUGUAAACUAAUUUCUAACUAAUGCAAAGAAAAAACCAAAUAAGAAAAGAAAUCAAAUUAACUUUAUUAAAAUACAUCACCCUAAUCAAAUUAUAUUGAUAAAUAUAUAUUUUUUAAAUUAUUAAUUUAUUUAUAUCCGGAUCCGGGUCUAAUACGGGUCGGAAUACUAUAUUCCGUAUCCGACCCGUUUUUUUGUUUGACAAAACGGAUCCGGAUCCGGGAAACGGAAUUAAAUCCCUACCCAUACCCGCAAUAAUUUCACGGAUCGGUCCGGAUCCAGGUCUAGACCCGACCCGUUGACAGGCCUACAAUCACCACAAACCAAGUGUCUUAAAAUCACUAGCCUACACUGGGGAUCAUUGUGAAAGUUAAUAGUUGUCAAAAGCACUAACCAAGAAGCAAGUUUCUCCAACUAAAAUCAAUUUCCAGCAUUAUGCAGUAGUAGUGCAAAGCCACAAACGGACGUAGACUUGAUUUGACUUAUUGAUUAAAAAUCAAAAUGAAUAAUACAAUUGAUUUGAAUUUAUAGAAGAAAAAUUUGAAACCCAAAUUUUCAGAGCAUGUUUCUAUUUAAGCAAUAUAUACUAAACCACAAAUUUUUAGUGGUUUAAGUAGCAUUCCAUUAAUUCUAAAGAUCCUACUAAGAUUAGGAUCCACUUUAUAAAUUAGAUCAUAAAGUUGUAGGACCAUGAAAGCAAGAUGAAAAUUCUAACUAUGCCCCACACUCCCUCUCCCCUCAAAAAGGGCAAAAAAAAAAAAGAAAAGAUUCCGUCUUUUCUAUAAUUUCCAUUAGUGUACCAUCCUACAAUUUUUCACACCAAAUGUCAAUACAACUUUUUCUGGCAUUUGCUCUAUACUACUUCAAAGCAAAGAUAAAUUAUCAUAUAAGAAAAAGGAAAAAGUAUUUGAAGACUUAAAUCCCUACACUUACCACAAUUAAACAUUGCCAAUAACUUGACUCUAGAUUUUUUGUGAUAAGGAGGUCAUAGAGAGACGGUGGUAUCAUUUUCUAUUCUCAACUUCCCUGGAGUUUACUUAAAAGAUAUGUGAAGGGAUUUAUUAAUGAAUUGUAUAUGUCAUGCAUGAUGCCUAACCAAAAUUUGGAAUAAAAUAUUUUUGUAUGUUUGUCCCCUGAUAAGAGAGACUCCAUCAUUUUUAAUACAUAGUGGGCAGUCAAGAAUUUACGAAUAAACUAGGCAUCUUCUGUUCUCAUUCUUUCCAAUCAUUUGUUAAGUGAUAAAUUGAUAGGUUGUAAUUUUAUUAUUUAUUUUAUUAUUAAUUUCCUCUAUUACCUGACCUGAUGUGGAUUAAUUGUUAGAUUCUACUCACUUUUGACAAUUUGUAUUUAUUUCAGGGAAUAAAACGAAAAUAUCAUAAUAAGUACCAAUUUAGCAAUUAUCAGAAAAGAGUUCAAGUAGCAGGAGCAUUUUUAGAACGUCAAGAUGCGACCCCUUUUUGAUAAUUUGGCGAAAGACAGCAUGGAAAAAUGGACGAAAAGGCUGAAGUCUUCUAUUCCGCUUGGGGGAGGACGCUCUCUCUUUUCUUCCUCUGUAGGGGACGCCGCACAGGAGGCAUUAGAUAGAAAUUAGAAACAGGAGACAACUAGCAGAUGACUUGGCAGUUUAGCUUUUGACUUUUCCGUUUCGUCUUCUUGUGGUUCCAUUACUCGUAUGUCAAGACCAAGUGAAGACAUUGAAUUACUUCCUGUAGCUUGCCUUUUUUCUUGAUUUCUCCGAAUUGAAUUUAGCCAAUCACGGAGACAAUGGCCGCAACUAUUGCUGCAAUUUUGUGUGGGUCCUUCUUGUCAAGGAUAAACUAAAUCCCCUUUUCUAGUCAAGAGUCAAGAAAUAAUGGAGGCUUUGGUUCGGCUAAAAAUUGUGAGAUCGAUUUAAUUUUAUCUUUUUCUUUUAUUUAUUAGUAUUCGUAUAUUCUCUGAUUACAGUGCUUAUGAUUGUUCAAUUAAUUAAUUAUCUUGGAUCCGGAUAAUUAGUUAAUUUAGUAACCUAUUGUCAAUUAGGAUAUUAAAUCCGUAAUUGUUUAAUUGCUCUGAAAUAGUGACAACUGACAUAAUUGGAUUUGUGUCAGGGGAAUACGCGGGUUAAUAUAAAAUAACCCUGGUAGUGCGUUAUUUGGUUAAAAUAGGGCUCCUCUAAUACGUAAGGCAAUUGGGGAAUUAAAUCUUACGGGCGUACCUAAAAUUAUUUCUCAAUUAAAGCAGUGAUUAACGGGCGUACCUUAAUCAUCGACACAGUAAGGAGGGGUUGACUGUCAUCGCUUGUUUGACAGUUAUAACCUAUUUAUUAGUAAAUAAUUGGAAUUACCUUUGCAUCGAUGAUCCAUUAGGUGAACCAUUGCUGAAAUUAUUUUUUGGCUAUACCUUUAAUUAUUAUUACCUUGAUUUUAGUGAAUUGUCAUUUAAUUUUUAGUUGGCUCUUUUAUUCUUAGUUGAAUUGUUUUAAUUGCCACCCUUUAUAAAAACACCCCCUGUGUUAUUUUGGAUUUCUAAAGAGACAAAUAUCCCCAGUUCCUGAGGAUACGACCCUACUUGCUCUGUCUACAAAUUCAUAAUUAUUUGUGAAAAAAGACAUCCCAUUCGGGUAUAUCGGAUCAAGUAAACUCUUCGGGAACAGGGUGAAUCAAGUAACACAUUGUACACCUAGAGUUCCUGCUCCAGUACUUGGAAUCGGGUUUUGGUUACUUUAACUGGCAAUUAAGUUUAUUUUAUUAUUGUACAGGUUUCGACAACCUGUCAUAAACGUGGCUCAAAUGUCCGAGAGGAGAGGGGGGCAACGUUUUACUUUUGUUUUAGUGGUUGCAAUUUGCAAACAAUGAAAAGCCCAAUGACAAUUGAAGGCGUUAGAUUGCCUUAAUAGUGUGAUUCGGGUUUGGUUUCUGGGCUGAUCUGUUUUGGUUAAGGAAGCAGCAAGCCUUGUCUGCUUUAUGUUGCUUAGGCCUAUCUAUAAGGUCGUUUGAAGAGAUGAUCCAGUUCUCAACAAAAUCUGUCGGCAAGUUUCAACAUGCGUGGGCCAACGAUUGCCUCCUAAAUCAAUAGGGUAGGCUUGAUUGGGAUGUUACUGGCAUCCUCUUGGAAUUCGCUGACUAGUGAUUUGACAACUUUUGGCUGGAAUUCGCCCCAUUUUCCACUCCAUUUCAACUCCAGCAGCGGGCACCUGUCUCCGUCGCCAGCCUUGCAUAUUUUAGUUAGUAUUGUGACAUGGUGGGCUUACCCGUUUUGAAUGCGUUCCCUUUAGAUUUUUUUUUUUAACUUUUCUAACGAGCACUCGUUAACACAUUUAAAUCACAUCUAACUUAUCAUAUAAAUAUACACACUAAUAAUUAUUACCCUUCUUUACAUUUAUAGAUAUUCUCUAAUUAACUUUGCUUUUUCAAAAUUUUAGUACCUUAUUAAGUACAACUUAAGGAAUGACCACGGAGUGCCCAUUAGGUAGAUUUUUUUUUUUUUUGAUUUUAAUAAUGCUUUUGAUGCAUUUGGCUUUGACUAUGAUUUGAAAUGAGGACGUCACAGCUCCUGAGAUAAUUCCAAAAUCACUGGGGCUAGAGUUCAUUGUUCCUACAUAUCAUUUCGUUUACAUACAAACUCUAGGUGGGGAACGGGGGAGGGGCAAAAAGGCAAAGCCACAAACGAAUUACCCUGCGAAUUUAAAUAUAUUUCCAGCAGUUUCAAGUAAGGUUGUGCAUCACAAGGAAGUACGUACUAUGCUUAAUUUCUUUGUUCUAAAAAAAAUUUAGAGAGUACAAUAAUGUAUUUGUUUGAUCUUGAGCUUCCUCUUCAUUUCUAAUACAAGUCCAAUUGGACUCCUCUACUCUUAUACAUAGUUAUUAAACCCGAUCCGACCCGACGUGAAAUAUAUAACCGAAGCUGUAAGCAUGGUGUUACACUGUUACUCAAAGGGCCUAAGCUACUUCACGCAGAGUUUCACUUUGAUCCCAUUCAUUCACUAUUCAGCAAGGGAGGUGAGACUUGAUUGCUUGGUUGUUUACUACUCUUGGGAAGCAAUUGUUGCUGGUCCAUUUGGAUGAUUCUGCUGGUAUUUAAUUAACACGAUGUUAUGCGAAAAUCACCUAAACCAUGUUACAUUUUUUUGUUUUUUGUAAUAAGUCCCUGUAUCGAAGAGGUUUGCAUCCAACUGAAAAAGAAAUAAUUAAGCUCAAAAAAUUACACUUUAUAGACCGCUGACUAAUUGAUAAUACGCUCUAGGCUGGAAUGUCAGCAAUUCCAUUCUUUGUUCAGUGUUGGUGCAUUUCUAAAAGAGGGCUGCCUUUGAAUUCAUCCACGACAUGACAAGCUUGAUUUGGAUAUCUUGGCAGACAAUAACGCUAUUAGUGGUUUGUUACAACCCACAAUAUGCAAUUUUUUUUUAUUGUUUGAAUUCAUACCAUUUUGUAACUGUUUAAUAAGACAUGAUAUGACAAGCAAAAAAAAAAAAAAUUUCAGCUUGUUAGGUGCAAUUGCUGUAAUACUUGGUCUAUAUAAUUAAUGCGUAGUAAGAACUUCUGUUGGGAUGUACGAAUUAUCUUUCUAAUGUUUUUCGGGGAGAGGCAUCAAUUUCAAAGGCAUCAUAUGCAUGGUUUCUCUUGAACCAAUUGACCCGCGAAAAAAUAUUAAUUAUUCUAUGACAAAUUAUAGUACUAUAAAACAUUAGUAAUUUACUCGGUUUACUAAGAUUUUCUAACAUCAUUGUGUACUUAAAGCGUAACAAAGUAUUCAAAAUUAUUAAUCCCAAUCGUAUUCAAAGUGUCCAUCCGAUAGACAUGUACUAAUCACAGUCGGUAGUGUUAUUAUUAGUGUACAAAUUAAAUUACUAUAGCACAAUAUUGUGUACAGAUAAUCAAAAUGACAACUGCAAAUGGAAUAUUCCCAUUAUAUAUCAUAAACCGGGUAAAUGCCAUUGUCCAACUCAGCUCUUCAUCAGAGCCAACCUUACAAAUAUCAUGCUCGAUAAGCAUCAUUUUUUUGGAAAUAUGCUUUGGCUGACGAAGCCAUCCUCAUGACCCAUCAGAGUUAUUGAAUCAUGAUGGAUGUGCCAAAAAAAAAAAAAAACAAGAAGUUUUGUCGUCCUAUCUGUUCAUCUUGGAGGUUCAUAUGCACUAAGUAACGCAUAUUGGCAAGUGACAAGAAACUUCCGAGAGCUUUAAUUUGUCCUUUCAAGAAGCUGCAUGAUUAGUUGUAUAUCUUUCGGUACACAGAAUUAUUGUACAAAGAAUAUAAUAAAUAUAGCGUGGUUGGAAGCCUAGCUAUAUAAGAGCGGUGCUGUCUCUAAUUGUUUCAAAUCAAGCAUAGGCAAAGAUGGGUUAUGAAGAUCAAAAGCCUCUCAUUUUCAUGGUUGUUUUGCAGUUUGUGUAUGCAGGAAUUACUCUAUCUACAAGGGCUUCGCUCUUACAGGGAAUGAGUCCCAGAGUUUUUGUGGUUUAUCGGCAAGCCCUAGCCGCUUUGCUUGUAGCUCCUGUGGCAUUUUUCAGGUCAAGGUACAUUUAUGGGAUAUCCAACUUCUUUCUAUUCAUCUUAUGCCAUGAAAUAUAGAAUUUUGAAAUUAGGCCAAAUCUAGCUCUGCUUUGAUUAUUUUAAUUCUUUUUUUUUUCUUUUUGAUUUUGGAGUGCAGGAAAGGAGGAAACACAUGUUCUUUAGGAUGGAAGAACUUCUGGUUAAUAUUUCUAGUUUCUCUUGUCGGGUAAGUUUUAGUUAAAGUAUGAAACUGUAUACAUUCCGGACGGUACAUGUGGCUGAAUACUUGAUUACUUGCCCAUUGAUUUCCUCUGCAGUGUGACGGUGAACCAGAAUAUUUAUUUUGAGGGACUAUACUUGGCGUCAUCAUCAAUAGCAAGUGCAAUGGGGAAUCUACUACCUGCAAUUACUUUUGUUUUGGCAUACAUUGUGGGGUAAUUCCAAAUAAUUCAAGAAUUAAGAAAAGUGUAAUUAAGAAGUUGAUUGUUAAAAUGAUCUACAUCUUUGAAUAUAGACAUUCAUCACGAGAUAACUUAAAGCUUUAAAUGGUUUUUUUUAAUGGCUUUCAUCUUUCUUUUUAUUUUCUUUGAAAUAACUAGAGCUUUAUUUGAGUUUAAGGUGUUUUUAAAAAAAAAAACUUUUUUAUUUUUCUCAAGUCUAGAGCAAUAAACUCUAAAAGUAACUUCAACAACUCUAAAAACACAACAUCUCAAACAGGAGGAGGGAGGAGGGAGAGGGGGGAGGAGGAGGGAGGAAGGAGAAGAGAGGAGGAGGAGGAGAAAGAAGGAGAGAGAGGAGAGAGGAGGGAGGAGAUGAUGGUGGUGGGUGGUGGUCAUAGGUGGUGUAAAUUUUUUUUAAAAAAUAUUUUAAAAAAAUUAUAAAUUCUAAAAAUAUUCCAAAAUACAUUCGAAAAAAUCCCCUAUAAAUACCCUUAAAACAUCCUAAAAACAUUUAUAGUAAAGUUUUUUCAUAUAUAGAGUUACGGUAAGGUUUUUUGAAAAAAUCCCCAAAAACAGCUAAUAAUAGAAAUAACCCAAGAAUAUAUUGUUCUAGUGUUCUUAAUUCAUAUUUUUAUAUUAUCAGACAAGAAAAAAUAAACAUCCGAAGCUUGAGAAGUAAAGCAAAAUUCUUCGGCACGAUCAUAUGUGUUACCGGAGCCAUAAGCAUGGUGUUACUCAAAGGGCCGAAGCUACUUAACAAAGAGUUUCACUCUGAUCCAAUUCAUUCAAUAUUGAGAUUGAGCAAGGGAGGUGAGACUUGGUUGCUUGGUUGUUUACUACUGUUCGCAAGCAAUUGUUGCUGGUCAAUUUGGCUGAUUUUGCAGGUAUACAAGUUCGAACAUUGUUGAGAUCAUAUUAUGUGAAAGUCACUUAAACACGUUAUAUCUUCUCACAGGCACCGGUGUCCAAGAGCUAUCCUGAUCAUUUAUCUCUAACAGCAUGGAUGUGCUUUAUUGCUGCCUGGCAAUCGGCAAUUGUGGCAUUCUUUAUCGAGAAAGACUUAGAUGCUUGGAAAUUACAAACACCUCUGGAACUUGGAUGUCUAUUCUUUUCAGUAAGUGUGAGGUUUGCAUUCAAUUGAAAAAAAAAAUUAUGUUCAUAAAAUUUUACUCUUAGACCACUGAUAAAUUAAUUCUAUUAUAGGCAGGAGCAUCAGCAAUUUCGUUCUUUGCUCAGGCUUGGUGCAUAUGUAAAAGAGGACCACUUUUUUCUGCCAUGUUUAAUCCUUUAUCCACUGUCAUUGUGACCUUUAUCGCCUCCACAUUCUUUCGAGAAGAGCUCUACAUUGGAAGGUAAUACCUCUCGCUGUAAUUUUGAACAUCAUAUAUUGUCAUGGAGGGAAUAUUAGAUGAAUUUGAAUGAAAAACAUGAAGUGUUAGCAUGUUAAAAUCUCAAACAAAUUCGAGUGUACAGAAUUAGUAGCAAUAUAUUCUCUCAGCAUGUUACACAAAAUAAUGUGUUCGAAUUCAAGCACAACAGAACAACUUUGAUUUUAAAUCCAGGCACACAAUAACAUACAUUUGUUAUUUUUUGGGCCCAACCGAAAAUCCCAAAAGGUUGAUUAUAACUCUACCACAUAAGGUUUUAAAAGCAAGUGAUUGGUAGCAAAUAUGAUUGAGAUAUAGAUUGUCUUGAGUUUGGAAUUGGCUGAGAAAACCAGUUUUCUCAUUAGUUCUUACCAAUGCUUUGAUUAUUGUUUGUGAUGGUUUAAUAUGAUAUCAUCUGACAGAAAGACAUCUUUUUCAGCUUGCUCGGUGCAAUUGCUGUAAUAUUUGGACUGUAUAUUGUGCUAUGGGGCAAAGCUAAAGAUCACAUGAUUAACAGCGAUGUAGAAAAGAAGCCAGAGGAGGAAAAAAUUAAUUAUACAAUCGUUGUCGAUGAAUCCACAGACAAAUUGAGUUGUAGAAUCGAUUUGGAAGAACCCCUUUUGCAUAAACAGACAAUAGAUCUCAAAGAUGAUCAGAAACAUUAGUAUUGAUGGGAAAAGUCUGUAUUUCUACAUAAAUGAGGUUCAAUAUUGUGAAGAAGACAGGACUCCUCUUCUAAGAAGAGAUUUUGUAAUUGCGCUUCCGGUUCUAGGCAUUCAUCAUUGGUGUUAUUAGCCUUUAUCCCCCCGGCAAGGGACAACUUGAUUUGAAAUUUCUAAUAAUCAUUUGAGAUAUUUGAUGGGAUCUAUAUACAAAGAGAAUUUCUUUUAGGGAUAACUUCAGAAACCUCAAGGGAGGUUUCUGACAAUUUCACUAAGCUCCUCUAAAGUUUGAAAAAUAAUACUUACCUUCCUUGAUUUGAUAGUUUUAGUAACAAAAUCUUAAAAUAAUAUUGACUUGGACAAUUUUUUAAAUGAAUACUCAAAAAUGCUCUUGUGGAAUGAGUUUUAAUUACUUCUCUACACAAUUAUGAGAUUAUUUAGUAUAAUUAUAAGGAAAAGGUGCCAAAUUUUUCAUGUCUAUAUUUACUAUUUGAUAAACAACUAUAAUAUAAUUUUAUUACUAUGAUAUGAUAUUUUUUAUGGCAUUUUAUUAUGAAUUUAAAUUUAUAAGAUAGAAAAGAAAAUGUUUAAAUAAUUCAUUUGGAGUUUAUAAAUUUUUGGAGUAGUGGUAUUAUCAUAAUUUAGUAGUACUUUUGGGCCAUUUCUUUUUGAUUUAUUGUUAAUUUUAAUACUAAAAACUAGAAAACGAAGAUCAGCAAAAACAUUGGAUUACAUAUAAAAUUACCUCGUCAAAAAAAUCACUAGUUCGACAUUUGGUUAUAGUAGAAACUUAGAGGCAUUAGUGGUAGUUCUACAAUUUUAUUGGCAAAAAAUUUUUAAAAAAAGGAAUAAAAAGGAAAAAGAAUGAAAAAAUAAUUUUAAAACUCAUUCUAAGUAUAAGCAUACCAAAUAAGAGAAUUUCUUUAAAAUAUUUAAGGGUAAAAUUGUCAUUUUAAAUGACAAAAAUGACAAGGGAGGUAUGUGUAAUUUUUCGAACCUUAGGGGAGCUCAGUGACAUUGUUAGAAACCUCAGGGGAGGUUUCUGAAAUUAUCCCUUUCUUUUACCAUGUACAAGUUAUUUUUCUCUUUCUUUCUUUCUUUUUUUUUUGGUUUUUUGGAGAGUCGAGUUGGUCGCUAGAAAAUUCACAAAAUAGUAUCAUCUCAAAAGCAUCAUGUAAAUUCAAAGUUUCUCUUCAAACUUUGUGGUUCAACCAAAUUAGUACAUUUUACAUGUGAAUUAUAUUAAUCAAACUUUCCGCAAAAUUAGGUAUUGACGAUUCAAGUGCCAAUCUCAGCAUAAUGAAGCAUGAACCAUACUAAACGCGCCAUUGUUAUUAACACAAAUUACUCUUGUCAUUCAACCACAGUUGUGCUCUUAUCAUGCUAGAAGUCUACUAAAUGACAUUUUCCAGCUCACUUCUACAUAAGAGCCAACCUCGUUUCUACGAAUGAUCAUGUUCGAUAAGGAUCAUUUCGAAAAGAUCCUGGUCUGACAAAGCCUUCCUGAGAUGAUUCAUUAUCAAUAUUUAUCAUUCAAUGAUGGAUGGCAAAUUGUUUUACUGGCUUACGUUGACCAAGAAACAACAAUUUUUGUCAUCUUUUGUAUAAAUCUUGUAAGUUCAUUUGUAUUGCAUCUGCACAUUAGUUGCUGACAAGAUACUUCAAAAAAAUUUGGUCAUUAUAUAGUUUAAUAAAUUUUGUACAAAGUGUGCCCACCCACAUGCAUGCUUGAAGCUUAUAUACAACAAAAUGUACUCCGACGUCAGUCUUCAUAUGGUCUAACUUUUUCGUAGAAUCUGCAAAAUUGCAAAUAUGGGUUUUGAAGAUCAAAAGCCUCUUAUUGUCAUGGUUAUGUUAGUUUCUCUAUGCAGGAAUCACUUCAUCACUAGAGCUUCCUUGUUACAGGGAACGAGUCCAAGGGUUUUCGCGGUCAGCUAUCUAUAGCCACUUUGCUUGUGGCCCUUGUGGCUCAUUUUAAACAGAGGCGUAUUUAUAGGAAUUUUAAAUCCUUUCUCCUCGUCUCAGAAUGUGAAACAUAAAUUAUGUACUGGAUCAAUUACACGAAAACCUAUAGCCUCUUUGGCUGUUGGGUGGUCAAGUUUCGACCCUUGUCUCCCAACACUUGUUACUAAUAAGUGGUUUCUACAAAUUCAAACGGGUGUGUAGUGCACCCGUCUGAUCCGAUAGUGAUUCAGUCCCCCUUGAUUCCCCCUAAUCUAGCUAGACCCUCCCUUAGAUAGGUUAUAGUGUAGGAGCAAGAGCAGUGUAGAAAGUGAUGAUUGACCCAAAAUAAAAAUUUACACAAAAUUUUUUUUUUUUUUUUUUUGGUUGGGGUUGCCCGGAGUAAGAUAAGUAGAUAUUCUUUAGGAUGGAAGAGGUUGAUAUUUUAAGGACAAAUUCCACUUUGCACCUUUGAACUUAUAUCACUUUCUCACUUUGUACUCUAAACUUCAAUUUUGAACACUUUACACCCUAAACUCUCAAUUUGAGACACUUUACAUGAUAAAUUCUUAAGUUCGUCAUAUUUAAAUCUAGUUAAUAACAACUUUUAAAAAAUUAACUGCAUAGAGGAUCUAACAAAUCAAUGAUAAUGUGCCAAAAGUAAUCAAAAGGUGCCAAGGUAUUAUAGCAAAAAUAAAACAAUACAUUAUCAUUAAUUUGUUUUAUUUUUUUCACUAUCAUUGAUUUGUAUCAUCUUUUAUCUCAUUAAUUUGCUAAUAAUAUUAAUAAUUGAGAUCAUAUAAAUAAAUGAUAAUGUGCUAAACAUGAGCAACAAAGCUAAGGAAUCGUAGUCGAAACAAAACAGGACAUUGUUGUUAAUUUUUAUCGCUCUUUAUCUCAUUAAUUUUGCGAAUAUAAUAGUUGAUUGGACUUAAAUGGAACAACUAUGAGAGUUUAGGGUGAAAAGUGUCCAAAAUUAAAAUUUAGGGCGCAAAGUGAGAAAGUGAUACAAGUUCAGAGGUGUAAAAUCAAAUUAAUCUUAUUUUUAAUAUCCCUCAUUUUGUAAGUUAUUCUCUUUUGAGUAUCUGUGUGUAUGUGGAAGCUAAACUAAUGUGAGUAUCCAAUUGAUUAAGUUUUUCCUCUAUACAUUCCUUGUGCAGAGUAACAUUUAACAAGAAUCUCAAUUUUAAGGGCCUAUAUACAUUUGGCCUCAUCUUCAAUAGCAAGUGCAAUGGUCAAUUUACUUCCUGCAACAACUUUUGCGGCGGCCUACAUUGUCGGGUAACUAUCAAGGAGAUUAAUGCAAAUUUAAAGAGGACUGAGUUUACAUUCAUCAUGAAAAAGUAAAUGAUUCUAUAUACAAUGGAUGAUCUCAUCCCUUUUACUUUUGAUUGCAUAAUUAUUAUGUUAUCUCAAAGCAACAGAAAUCUAUUAGCACAGUAACUUAUAUAAAUUCUUUUGAACUCUUUUUGUCUAUAAUUAUUUCUUAAAUUUCACUCGAAUACCGUACCUUAAUAUAUGUCAAUUACAGAUUAGAGAAAGUGAAUAUCCAAAGCUUCAGGAGUAUAGCCAAGAUCAUCGGAACAAUCAGCUCUGUUGCUGGAGCCAUAAGCAUGCCAUUACUAAAAGGGCCAAGAACUCUAAGCAUGGAGCUUCAGCUAAUGCAUUCGUUAUUCAAAAAGGGAGAUGAGAUAUGGUUGCUUGGUUGUUUCAUCCCCUUAGCAGGCACAAUUUGCCGGUCAGCUUGGCAACUUUUGCAGGUGAAACCACCCGAUAUUUCUCUAUUGGAAUCACACAAUUUGAGAAUCAGUUAACAGUAUAUCCAUAUUUGUGUUGCAUUUUCUCAACAGGUGCCGGUGUCCAAGAGCUAUCCCGAUCAUUUACCCGUAACAGCAUGCAAGGAUGUGCUUCAUGGUUGCCUUGCAAUCUGCAGCUGUCACGUUUUUCACUGAGAAAGAUUUCACAAGCUUGGAAAUUGCACUCACCUUUGGAAAUUGGAUGCCCUUUAUAUACUGUAAGUUUUGUACUUUAAUUUGAUAGUUUCCAUUUUACAACCAUUUUGUAUCGAAGAUAAAUUUGAAAGAGUUCAUCAAUAUUAUACCUGGCUGGAGCACCAGCUCAAUCUUGGUGCAUUUCGAAACGAGGUCCAAUUUUCUGUGCCAUGCCAUGUUUAAUCCCGUAAACAACGUAACUAUCACCAUGUUCCCUUGUACGUUCAUCCACAAAGAGAUUUACUUAGGAAGGUAUUACCUGCAUUGCAAAAAUUGAUUAAUACCUUUUAUUCCUUAAGACUCCAGUGUUCCGAUUUCUUUAUUCUUUGGAUGAUAAAUAAUUGGGAAAAUGAUCGGUUUCAUCCUUCACAUUUCACAAAAAUAUUUUUUUCGUCUCUCACUUUUAAAACGAAGCAAUUUCAUCCUUAACAUUUUAAAACUGAAGUUCUUACGUUCCUGAACCCAAAUUUCAAUCUGAAUCAAACCACCAAUCAACCUGAUUACAAAUUUUGGGAGUGUAAUUAGUAGAUCAUUUGGUUAACUCAACUUGAUAUUCAUGUAAAAUUUAAUGAACCAAAAAAGAAAAAAGAAAAAAUUAUAACAUAAAAAAGAAAGAUUAAUCUUUCCUACAUUAUCAUUGUAUACACUGACGGUUUUAUGAACCGCCAUAUCAUUUCAAUUUAAAUUUAAACACCAAAUUUUAUAUUUAUGAUACACAUCUAGAUUCGCAAGCGGAUAUACUAACGAUGUAUGAAAAGAUUUACCAAAAAAAAAAUCCCCACUAUUCCAAGACAAAGAAUGACCUUUUAUGUUAUAAUUUUUAUUUUUUUGGUUUAAUAAAUGUCAUGUGAAUAUGAUGAAAUUGACCGAGUGAUCUAUCAAUUCUAUUUCCGAAAUUUAUUACUGGGCUAUUGAAUGAUUUGAUUCAGAUUGAAAAUUAGGUUCAGGGAUGUAAUAGUUUUAAUUUUUAAAUGUCAGGGAUGAAUUUGCUUUAUUUUAAAAGUGAGAGACGAAGAGAAUAUUUUUGCGAAAUGUGAAAGAUGAAACAGGUCAUUUUCGCUAAAUAAUUUAUAUAUUUACUCAUAUUGAAUUUUGAAGCCCUUUAAAUUGAUAACUUAUCGGUUCCAUCGGCCUCGAGGAAUUUAUGGCCUCGUUUUCAUGUACCAAAGAAAUAUCUAAAACUAGCUUAUUUUCUAAUCUAAGACGCAACUUUACCACAAUAAGCUAGAAUUUCAUAAUUACGUAUUACUUUUCCAAACAGCUCUUGGAAAAUAUCUUAUACCGAUUUGCCCAAAAUAUCAGUUCCUAGUUUCAUCUGCUGACCAAGUCGAAUUUGAGUUGAAAAAUACUAUUGUUAGCUUGCGAGUCAGUUCGAACUCGAAUAUAUACAUAUAUAUAUAUAUAUAUUAUUUUUUAUUUUAAUAAUAAAAUAACAUAUAUAUCCCUAAUAUUUUAUUAUUUAUUAAGAAAAAUUAUUAUUUUAUUUAUUUAUUAAAAAUAAAAUAUCUAUUUUUUAUCUUUUUAAACUCGAACUCGAAUUUGAGUUUCGUAAAAUUAUGUUGAGCCUCGACUUGAUUAAGUCGAAGUUGUACUCCACGAGUCACCCCUAACUUGGCCUAUACAUUAUGGAGGAAAAGGAAUCUUAGAACAUUUCAAUUGAUUCUUUAUGAAAUUCUUGAGAUAUGUUCGUCAUGCCAAUAGCUGGAUGGAGGAGAAUUCCAAAGACUCGAGAGAAUUGGGAGCUGACUUUACAUUGGAACUUUUCAAUGCAAAUUUUCUGUUGAUUGUAUAGAAUAUAGUGAUUGUGAUCAGUUUUAUUUUCUUUGCUUAGUUGUAUAGAUUCCAGUACUAUGUGGUGACUGUGCAGGUGUCUAUAUUUAACUUUUAUUUUUCUUUGCAUAUUUCUCAAAGCUAAGUAAGUACUAAAUGAUUGUUUUGAGAUGAAACAGUAGAAGGGGAUGGUUGAAAGCCACAUUACACCAACAACAGCACUAACAAAAUUGAGCUACUCUACCAUUCAGUCUAGCCAGCUUUUGAAAUUAAAAAAAAAAAAAAAAAAAAGAAGUCAUCAUAAGAAAGGCCAAAUAUAUUGACUGGCAGGGAACAUUCAAUUGACUCUUGGGUGAUGGUAAUUACUUAUUUCCAUCAAAAAGCAAAAAUUACAUGUACGAUCCCAACCAACAAAACCCACCAACAAUGGUAGGUAUGGAGAGGAGUGAACGACGAAAACCCAGAGAUGAUGGGUCUUUACUCUUUACAGCUUUUCAUUGUUGGUCCUGCAAAUAAUUGGAGAGACAGAAAGGGACGUCGACUUCCAUUAACUCAAAAGGAUAAUUUGAAAUCUGACCCCAGUGUCCGGUGGGCUAUUGCAAAGUCUGGUGGUGAAAGAAGAAAAAAAAAAUCCUUCACCACACAAUUGGGGAUAAAAUCAAUAAGAUGAGAUAGAAGCAAAUGAAUGCAUAAUCAGACUCAGAAACCCAAGGACAAGUGCGAUGCAUCCUAAUCCACCUGACAACCUCAAUUGCCUAGCCCUUAAUAAUAUUUCUGCCACAUGGUAGAACUUUUGGAGUGAUCUGGAUUUUGGUCAAAUUGAAUUUAGCAUCUAAAUUAGGGCUGUCAACGGGCCGGGUCCGAGCCAGAAUUCAUUAUUCCGAACCCGGAUUCGAUCCGUUUACCCGAUGGGUCUUUUAUUCUAUGUUCCGGAUCCGGAUCCGGCAGGUCCCGGAUCCGGAUCGGGUUUACCCGAACAAAUUUAGCAAAAUUUAUAAUUUCUAAUAAAAAUGAGAAAAAAAUAUAUUUAUAAACUAAUUUCUAACUAAUGCAAAGAAAAAACCAAAUAAGAAAAGAAAUCAAAUUGACUUUACUCAAAUACAUCACCCUAAUCAAAUUAUAUUGAUAAAUAUAUAUUUUUUAAAUUAUUAAUUCAUUUAUAUCCGGAUCCGGGUCUAAUACAGGUCGGAAUACUAUAUUCCGUAUCCGACCCGUUUUUUUGUUUGACAAAACGAAUCCGAAUCCGGGAAACGGAAUUAAAUACCUACCUAUACCUGCAAUAAUUUCGCGAAUCCAGGUCUAGAUCCGACCUUUGACAGGCCUAAUCUAAAUCACAAUAGCGUAGACAAUUAACAAACUGCAUAGGACUCAAACUGGAGCCCGCCACAAAAGAAAUCAAAGCUUUAAGCAAAGAGAGGAAUAAGGGCAUAUCUAAAUCAAUGAUUGUUGGCCACUAUAAAAAAACAGUGAGGAGCAACUUACCCUUUUUUUGCAGGUAAUCAAGCAGAAAAAUUUUUUAUUUCUUAAUUAGAAGAAAAGCACCAGAAAACGUGGCAUUAAGAACAGGAAGUCUUUCCUGCAUUAAAGAGAGAAAGAAUGGACAAAAAUCCGACAAAUUUUGAAGGCCAAAACUUUAGAGAUCAAACUCAAGUACGCAGAGCAGAACCUGUUCAGAAGCAGAUCUGAAAAUGGCAGGGAAAUCUGCCAAUGUUUUUGUCAAAGACUGAAAAGUCUAUAUAGAAACUAAGCAUUAACGUAGGAAAUCAAUCAUCCAACAUGGUCUGAAUGAGCAAAAUCAAGCUAUACAUAGAAGCAACUAACAAAUAGGUAGGAAGUUGUAUUGCAUACAUUAUUAGAAAACCAGUUUCAAUCCAAACUCUAAUAUCUACUCAGAUAUGAGCUUGAUCGCUCAAGGGUAGCGCUUCCAUGCAUUAUCCUCCCUGUUGUUUCUGAAUGCGCAGCAUCCUAUAGAGUAUACUAUGAUGAGGAAGACCAGCACUAUAAUAUUCAGAAUGGCCUCCUUCUUCCAAUCACUCUUGAUAUUGUCCAGCAGACCAGCCUUGCAUGAUUGGCAGUUGUAGCAUAGAACUUUCUGAUCAUUACUCCAAGCCGUGCAGUCUGGAUUAGUAGACCCUGCUGUUCCUGUCCAGUUGGUUGGGGUGACAUAGGUGAAUUUGCACUCAUCUGGUGGCUUGCAGCAUCCAGACUGGCAAGAGUAAAUGAACAGAGAAUGAGAGAGACAACAUAAAAACGAUUUAACUGCAAAUGAACUAAUUUCAAUCUAGUCAUAUAUCUGUGAAGAACCUUUCCAAGACAUCGAGUUUAGGCACAGAAGCUGAAAAUUUUACAGAUUCUUUCACAGAAAUUUGAGGCGUGCAACUAGUACAUCAACCAGGAGACGAUUCUCAAAAUCACAAAAGGAACAUCUUAGUUUAUAACAACCUAGCAGUUCAACAAUGUGUCAAAUGUAUUAAAAACAUGCUUCCAAUUCAAAAAUGGAAAAUGCAAUCAAUCCAAAGCAGGACAAUUUAUGAUUUUACAGCAACAAGUUGAAUGCCAUUAUUCUCCUCUGGAGAUACUUGUUUGAACAUGUAUAAUAGCAAAACAAAAAUUGACAGAAUAAGCAAUAGGGUCAAGUAAAUUGAUAUAUCAUUAUUCUUAAAGGCACCACUUUAUGCACCACACCACUUUUUGCAACAAGAAAUAUAUACAAGCAGCAUCACCAAUCUGUCUCAGACAAAAAGCAGAACAUUUUAAGUCGAGAUUCUAGUCAAGUCUCUCAACUUUAGGAAACUACUCAAUAACCAUCAUUCAAAUAUAACAGAUCCAUGGCAGUUAGUGAUUCCAAGUGAAGAUCAAUACCCUUUCUCAAGAAACUUAAAAAAGUAAAAUUACUAUACCAACAAGAACAAACUACUGACACACAGUCCCAGCCCCUAAAGAUAUCUUCCAAUUGAGUAUCCAGAUCUAGAGCGAGGCAGCAAAAACAGAAAACCCCUUCUCCCCUCAAGUGAAAAACUCAAGUUUUAGCUCAAAAAGAAAAAAGAAUGACAACCAUGCAGGUAUGGAGAGCAACAAAAGAUGCAAUACUUAUGAAUCUGUACAUACCUGAAGAGCAGAAAGCGUUUCCUUGUUAAAUUGUCCUAAAGGAGUGGCACCUUGUUCAAUCAGGUGCUUGCAGAUCUGUGAGUCCUGAAGACAACUUCUAAUCCUGGGCCAAUUUUUGUUCACCCUUUUCUGCAACCAAGUGUUGUAAUCCCCAAGCCUGUACUCCUUAUACCCCUUACCUGCAAGGGCCUCACCAGCACCUUUAUUUGUAACCACAAACGCAAAGAUUGUGAAGCAAAAGAGGAGCACAAUCAACAGAAACAUGACCAAAAGGUACACCCAAAGAAGCCAUGAAACUCUGCAACAUGAUCCAAUGAGUCCUGCCAAUGAAACCAACAGCAGAAACGCCCCCAAUACUAUCACUGGCUUUUCAAGAAAACGUUCACAUUCAGUAUUGGACUGCUUUGCUAGCCAAAUCCCACCUGCAAUUAUUGGGAUUGACAACAACAGCGUCAGAAAAUUCAGUAUCCCAAGCAAACUGUUGCUGCAACGUGGCAUUUUCUCUGGUAUUCUUGAAAACGAACCAAAAAUAUCAGUAACUUCUCAAGAAGCCAAGAAGCAAAAGGGGUGAUUAAACUCCAAUAGUUAUGUGCUUCUUAAUGGUGAACGAACCUAGUUAACGGUGAACAGUUUUACCAGUUUUAUAGUAGGAUCCGAUGGAAAAUUGAUCUGGGUUGGAGCUAAGAAAGCGAGAAUCUGGAAAAUAAAAAGGAAGAUAUGAUGAAUGGAACAAAGGGUAAGGGUGGUUAUAUAAUACUGGUGAAGACGGGCCGUUUAAUUGCAUUCUUAGUCCUCUAAGUUAUCAUUCUAGCCCAUGUAUCACGCAGUACCCUAUUGCGUGUAAUAGAUUCAUUAGCAUUCAUUUUACUAUAUAUAUGAUGAUUGAAUUAACUAAGAUUUAAUUUCACAUAAAUUUAUGUCAUCUUUCAUAAAUUGAUUCUAAUUUUUACUUUUUGUUUGCAUAUUUUUUUGUUUGUAGAGUCAAAGAACAUUUUGUGUAAAUUAUUAGUAGUACAACUUUUUGUUUGGUCAAAAGAAUUUAGAUGGAUUAGUCUUGACUCAAAUGGAGUAUCUAUAUUAGCAGGAGCGAAUGAUCAAUUGUGAUUAAUUAUUAUGCAAUCUACACAAGCAUAUAUAUAUAUAUAUAUAUAUGUUCACAAUCAAUAAAAAAAUUAAUCCAAUUUAGAUGCUUACACAUAUUUAAGAGUAGGAAGGAAGGAAGUGGUAUGGUAUCUCUCUAAUUCAAAGCUGAAAGAUGUAGUCCCCUGUGUUUCAAUAGCUACAAUUGUUUGUAGGUUUAAAUUGACAAAAAUGGAGAAGAUGAGAGACUAAGGUAAGAAAACCCAAAAUGUUGGGGUCCCAAAAUCUGUAUGGGGAAAUGUGAAACUCGUGGAGGUUGAGCUGGUCUGGAAUUUGCUAAGGAGUUUCGGAGACGUGUGGCCGUUUCCGAAAAAAUUUCAGCGUCAAGCGAUAAGCCCAGUGCGCCACGUGUGACACGUCGUACUCGCCGUGUGAAUUAAUUGGACAAUCGCAACAAGGAAUCGAAACGGAUGGGAAAGCGUGGGACCAGACUAGCAAUGCCAAAAAGUGUUUUUCUUUUUCUUUAUCUUUUUUGAGCCCAUUAGAAGCCAAAAAUGUAACAAUAAAAAGUUUUGACGCUAUGGUAGACUUGAUCGUUUUGGCUAGUAACUUAUCUUGAAGGAUGAUGUGACUUUUGAUCAAGAACAGGAACAUUAGAAGAUUUCCAAAAUCUUUAAUUUUAAAUGUCCCUCCCCUUUUACCCCAACCAUUAUUGUCUCGAUGGAAGAUGAUUGAAAAAUACUCUUGUUACGAGUGUUUGGAUUAAAAAAAAGAAGAAGAAGAAGUCUUUAUGAUGUGAUGUAUUUUAUGAUUAAAAAAUGGUUAGAAAGAUUUUUUUUUAGAAAAAAAAAAAAGAAAAACAAUGUUUAUUAUGCAUAGGAUUGAAAAAUAAACCAAAUUACAUGAUAUUUGAAUCAAAUUUGACUUAUUAAGAACUCAUUCAAAUUUGGAUCGCCAACUAGUCAAGUUAAGAUUGAACAGCAUUUUAUAUUCGCCAACAUUUAAAUUCGAUAAAAAAAUUAGUUCAAACUCGAUUUGGCAAAAUAAAUAAGUCAAAUUUGCAUAAAAUUUUAAAUUCAUUAAAAUAAUCAAACAAACUUGAAUACUAGGGUGUUCAGUUUGAUUAGACUAGUUUACACCCCUAAUUAUGCAUGUGAAAAAAAUCUUUUUUUUUUUUUUUGCAAAAAAAGAAUAUAUCCAAAAUCUUCUGGUCACUUAAUCUUUGAGACUAAUAUUCAAUGCUGACUGACUCAAUGCAAUUUAUGAUACAAAUUCAAAUAUCCACUUCAUUUUUUUUUUAAAAAAAGGAGUCUUUAUACUUUAAUUGCCUAAUACCUUCUUGAUUGGAUUAAUUUUGGUCUCACUUAGAUUGCAAUUUUUAAAAUUUUUGAAGAAAAAAAAAUAUAUAUAUAUUCUAACAUUGUGAUGUACGAGAUAAAAAGGUAAUUUAAAAUUAUGUCAAACAAAUAUUCCUAGUCAUUGGAAGUUGAUUUUAAAUAGGAGAGAUUCUACAAGAUCACACACACAAGUUAAAUUUAGCAUUAAAUGUGAAAUAAGUGAUGUUAAAUUUCUAUAAUUUCACAACUUUAAAAUUUCAACUGCUAUUAUCAUUAAGGAAUAGAAAUUGAAGAAAUGGUUCCACGAAGGGACCAUACAAUUUCCCAAAGAUUAGUAUCAAAGUAGGUCCUCCAAAAGAAAGAAAAAGAAAUUGUUUAAAGAAGAAAUAAUUGUUUGUAGCCAUAUAUAUAUAUAUAUUUUUUCUUGUUUUUCUCCUAUUUGAGAAAUUGGACGCCGACUUAUAACUUGAAAUCAGGCGAGUCCCGCGCGCCGUGUCCAUCGUUUAGUAAUAAGUACUAUAAUAAAUGAGUAUGAUGAGCUUACUUGGAAUAUUCCAAAGGCAGAGGCAGAGGAUGAUAGUUACUUAAAGCCAAUCAACUCUCUUUCGUCCGUUUGUUUACUCAAAUUCCUUAUCACACGUUAAGAGGCUUCUUUAUAGUCUCGGGGAGUUAGCUUCACAAUCUUGCUGCCAUCCAAACCUUUUGCCCCUUUUUUUUAUUUGUAAAUCUGUUCUCGGAAUUUUCGUACCAACCCUUUCUUUCUUUCUUGGAGCAUUGAGCAGAUACACCAAAAAGAGUGAGUUGUAAGUAAGUAAUGGUUGAAUUGACCAACACAUGUCGCUUUUGCUUAAACCUGAACCAUCAAUAACGCGUAAUUUAAACCAAACUUUUUAAUACUAAUAAUAAUAAUAGACUGAGCCCUUCUUCAUUUUUAGUCCAUUUUAAGAAAUAUUUUAAUACUUAGCUUCAUAAAUCCUCAACUAAUGUAAAUCAAUAUAAGCAUCAUGGACCGAUUCAAAGGAAGAUAGGAAAUUUCCCUUUUUAUUUUUAUUAUUAUUAUUUCCUCAAAUUGGUUGACGGAUAUAAGAAUUACUAAAUAAUAUUUUAUUGUUCAUUAUGUGUGUCAGACGUUUUAGCCAAUUAAAAAGGCAUAAGUUAUUUAUUAUCCCUAAUUUUGGGGUCAACAAUCAAAAAAAAAAUAAAUAAAUAAAUAUAUAUAUAUAUAUAUAUAUAUGUGUGUGUGUGUGUGUGAUUGCACUUUGUUUGUACUGAAUAUAAUAAUUGCAGCAACGGUUACGUGUUUUUUAUGAAUGAAUCAGUACUUGCAACACAAGCACGCUUCUCAAGUUUACAGUUGUUGUACAUUGGAAAUAAAUACACUACCUUAUUGAUCCAUAACGCUGAAACAAAAACCCACAGAUCAGCAUCAGACAAAAGACCAUGCAAAACUCAGCUCCCAAUGCAGAGACAUGAAGACCUAAAGCAGUUUCAAAAUCAAAGGGGCCCUGGGAAAGUCCCAUUCUCCCUCUGCUCGUUCCAUCUCUCAACCUGUAGAAAUGUAGCAGAAACUAGUUAGAAUGCAUUCAAAACUAUGGUAAAAUGGUAGAAUGUUAUCAUCCUAUUGCAUAUGGUAAAAUAGUAGUCAAAGACGUUUAUAUAAUAUAAUAAACAUAAAAAGUGGGAACGCUGGAAAGCCAAUAAAAGAUUUGGUGUUGUACCACUUGGUAAUUCAAAAAGGCCAUCCCCAUCAGCCAUUUAAUAUAUCUCCCUCAAACAACUAGAGGUUUUCCAUACGCCAUUACUAGAGGUGUCAAGAAGAUAAAACGGGCUGCACAGAAAUUCACAUGAGAGUUGCAAGCAACUUCAAGCUCACAAUCCAAAACUUACUCCGAAAGGAACUAAAACAGAUAGUCAAACAUAAAAGAAAAACCAUAGCUGUUUUUGUUAAUAACGAUUAAGUUUUAACUAUGAUGUCAUGUCACCACCCAAUUCCCGUGUAACAUAAAGGAGCAAUAGUUUCCAAUUGCAAUGCCAUCUCAAGCAGAAUCACACAUGAAAUGGGACUUUUUAUGAGGACAACAGUGCUCAUAUCUGACCUUUUGAAGAGGACUGCUGUCCCCCAAGCCUAUGACAAUCAAUACCAACAUUCAACAGGUAAAAGCAAUUCUACAUAUAUAUAUAUAUAUAUAUAUAUACUUACUUACCCAUUCACCAGGACAGAGGGACCUAUAGUACUUGGCAAAUUUUUCACAUUCUCCAGAAUCAUCACCCUUGGCAGCCAAGCACCUGAAAUCCAAAAAAGUGUUGAAUCUGUGUAAACCAAAUCAUUAUGAUAGACCAACAAAAGCUUUACUGUGCUCUAAAGAGAAAACCAGGCAAGAGUAAAACCUAUAUCAAUUACAUAUUCAACCGAUAGAAAAUCAUCUUGAGUACCAAGAUAAAUAUUUCUGUACUCACUCUUUUCUUUUUCCCCCCCAAACAUCAAACCCUAUUCAUGAGCUUCUAGAUUUAAAAUGUUAGGGAGUAGUAAUCUAGUCAAGUAAAAAUAUUUUAACUUAAUCAGGCACUUUCAAAAGAUAUUUGCCUAAAGGUUUCAGCCUACACCUUCUUAACAAACACAAAACUAACUUAAGAUUUCUCUUUCAACAACUGAGGGCUAGAAUCAAAACUACACAUUACAAUACUUAUAAGAACAAUCAACUGGCUUAAGAUGAGUACCAAGUUAUGAUGCGAUUUCUGUUUGCCACCUUUAAUCUAACAAAAAAAAAAAAAAAAAUCACCCAUGCAUUUGAAAAAAACUUCUACCAUUGCCGAAUUUUGAAUUUGGCUAACUAAACCAACAUAGGGGCAUUAAUACCGUCUCAAGACACCUAAAAUGCAAGAUAAGUUCAUCAAUCAAAACUACGUAAGUUCAAUGGUUUUACCGGAGUUGUUCCAUGACACAGAAAAAAAAUUGGUUUCUAUGACACACUAUUAAGCAAUCAACAGCCACUCAUAUGUAACAAAGUCCAAUGACCAGAAAAGCCUUAUGCAGCCACAACUGACAGAGCAUGUCCUUUUAAGAUAAUUGGUUUUAUGGCAUAUUAUUCAACAACCACUGGUGUGUAACUAGUCCAAUACCCAGAGAUGCCUCAUGCAGCCAAAACUGAUAGACCAUUACCUGUGGAACUCAAUGUAGCGUGUGAAACAGUGUCUAGUUUGAUUAGUUGUUGGGAAUCGGAAGUCAGCUGGUGCAGUCUUCAGUUCAAUCUGACAAUAUUAGCAUACAAAUAUUACUAAGAAGAGUGUAAGACAACUGUUCAACACUAAAUUGCGUCUUCCGCUUUCUCAUCAUAAAUCACACACUUAAUUCACUACAUAAAAUGAAAAGGAAAACUAUCAAAAGUUCAGAGAAGCAAACAUUGUCACUUUAGAAAAAAGGUGAACAAGAAAAGUAUUUUAACAAGUUACUUAAUAGUUAAAAUAUUGAAUAAGCAUGUUUCCACUUAAGACGGCGUUCUCCUCCAUCAUGCUUAGAUUUCAUUGUAAUAUUUCCCAAGACAUCAUAUCCUACCAGAAUUCCAAUAGUUUCGAGGCAGGAGACAUCCACAGCAAGAAUACAUAGUUUUGACCCGAUUGUAAUUAUGAGCUAAAUCAUGCUUUGCAUGCUAAGAAGCUCUAGCCUAGGCACAGAUAAAACAUCUUUUCUCAGAAUUAAAAUUUCAACACAUCAUAAUCAUGAGAUAGAAGACAUUAAGCGUGUUCAGAACUAAGGCUUUCAACAAAACUGGAUGCACUUCCAUGCUUUUUUGAAUAAGAAUGUCCAAUUGAUAAAGAAAGAAUUUUUUGAACAGGCAACUUUCAAAGAAUGAAUCAAUAAAAUCACAACCUCAAGAAAACCUAAUUCCUGCAUAUGACAGUUCUAUUCUGAAAUCAAAAAGAAGGAAAAAAAAUUCACUCUUGAGGCUAAAGGACAGGCCCUCAGGCAUUAAAGGUCAGACGAAAGAAAAAUUGUUUGUGUCUAUUGUGGCAAAUGAAAAAUACUUUAGCAGCAGACCUCACACACUCUGACAUGAGAUAAGCACCUCACACACUGUGAAAUGAGAUACUAUUUGGCCCAAAGGACUAGAAAUAAAAGUGCAUUUACACAAAGGGCCAGCUAUGGCUCCCUUUAGCUGUCAACAAGACUAGAUAAAGAAAACAUUUUACAAUUGAGUCAAGAAAAGUAAACCACAAUUUACGUUCUCUUUCUAUAAACAACUAUUUGGCUAAAAAAAAUUAACAAAUAUAAACCACAACCAACAUGCUCUAUGAUGAGCAACCAUUUGGCCAAAUAAUUAAUAAGUAGACCAUCUGGAAAUGAAUAAAGCCUAGGUAUCGGAACCAGUAACUUAAAAGAGCAGGCAAGGAUAUAGAGAUCCCCAGAGUAAUAUUCCAAGAAGGUAGAUUUCUUCUCUCAGUCUGUACUAAAGAAGAAAGUCUACUUCAAUCCUUAUAUCACCAUGAAAAGAGAAGGGGGAGUCAACACCAAACUAUGUCACCUUAUAGGGAUUUUAGGCUGGAUUUUGAAUUUUAAUCUGCUUAGUAUCCUCAUAGUCAUGAGAGAACUUAAACUAUGAAAGCUCUUGCUUGGCUAUUGGAGAAAGUGGGAAAGAAGGCAUUCUGUCUCUUGGUAUGGAACCCCACAUUCACCUGUAAUCUGAAACAUUUUCAAGUAUGACAAUUAAAAUACAGAGCUUUGAGAGCAUAGAGAACCAAUAUGGGAUUAGCUACAACAACCCAAUUUUCCAUCAGCAUUAGGAGUACACAAUUCUUCCCUUCAUGUAUGGAUACUCAUAAGAAAAUCUUCCUGACUUGAUAUAUUAUACAGAUGGAACAUUGGGGGCACCCGUGGAUGGGGUUUUCUUGUUUUUUUCGUUGGGGGGGAGCACAAAGAAAAGAAGGAAAGAAAUAUUAAAAAGUUUACAAAGAGAAAGAAGGAAAACAAGUCUUUUAGUAAUUUCCCAUAUCAUAUCUCAAAUUCCAAACAUCCACGUAGCAGGACAUUUCCCUUUCCUCAAUAAAUUUACUAUCAAAGGAAACCCAAACUAAAUAAAGGCACAAACUUUUCUCUAAGAAAAACAUAAAAGCAAAUGUGCACAACAUCCAACUAACUCUAUGGUUUUGUUAUAAAAACAACUCCAUCAUCCUUUCAUACAGCUGCUUGCUUUCAACAAGAGUCCGUUCAGAUUUGAUAGCAAUGUAUUUCUUUACAAAUACUUUGCUUUUAGGCCUCACUAGGUUUAAACUUUUCAGAAAAGCUAUACCAACAAUCACUUUUUAAUACCUCUCAAUAUCAGCAAAAUUCAGUACAUUUCACGUUAAAAGAAAGCACUGCACCUUUUCUGAAGCUGUCUAUUUAUACUUCCCCUACAAUCAUUGGAAAUUUAUUCUACCAUGAAAUUAAACCCCUAGCACUCCAAAAUGGUUCUUGACAACAAGAAAUUUGGGCUCAUCUCUCACCAAGGCUUGACAAGGCACAAUAUGGCAAUCCAAUCCCAAAAAUUCCAACUUUCUCGAAAAAACUAAAUAAAAAUCCACUGCUUGACGUAAUACUGGAUAUUGAAAGAUAACACUUCAACAAGAACAUCUACUGAAUAUCUUUCCAACAAGAAGCUGAAAACCCACGAUCAUAUAUUGCAUAAAAGCUAACAUCUUGUUGAAAUUCCUAACCACACCCAUCUUAGAAGCAACUAUACCAUAGCUGCAACUUUGCCCCCUGGUAGGCAUGAAUGCCAACCAUCAUUUGCUUUUCCUCUUUAAUUCUGAACCAUAUAAGUUCUAUAACUAGAUUCAAAACCAAUUUCUUCUGUGUUAAAACUGAAUGCCAACACCGCACUCUUUUAGUUCCCAAUUUAAAAUACCCAUUAACCAAUGCCUUUUACUGAUUAAUUCAACCAUAAAUCUCCAUAAAAUCAUUCAUUUCUUGGAUCUCUUGCACAUUGUUUUAUACUAGCUUUUCACCCCGAAUUUCCUUCACACUUAAACCAUAUUUUCACAAUGUUCUGCCAAUAAAAUACAUGCAAAGAUAACAGAAAAUACAUUGACUGAGUGGGAUAUAUAUACAUAACCACGUUGUAUGAGUCCAUUGUGUACAGAACCGGCAAUUGAAUCAAAUCAUUAACAGAUCACAUAAAAAGGAUAAUGUACAUAAUCUCAUCAGCAAUCAAUUAAGACGAAAUUGAAACCACAAUAAAACAAAGGUAGAAAAUCAUAGACUAAAAUCCCUUAAAAAUUAAUGGAUUAAUUUCAUUAAUUUCAGUUUACCUCAGCCAUUUGACGAGACGGGAUCGAUCGAAAAUGAUGUGAAAAUGAGACAGAGCACUUUCUUCUGGUCGGCGGGAGAGAGUGUUGGAAACUAAAAUUGUUCACGUUUUGUUUCAGUGAUUAGUAGUUGUAGAAUUAGCUUAGAUUAGUUUGCAACCCUUAAUAUUUUCUUAGUUUUUACUGUUCACCCUUCACCUUUUAGUUUUUGACACAUAGCCCCCAACUGUCUUACAAAAGCUCUGGUAAAAAUUUUUUUUUUUUUCCCAAAAUAAGAUUACAUAUACCUUACAACUGCAAGAUCAGUACAACAAAUUAGUUGUCAUUUAAUUUAGAGAAAUGCCAAACUAGAAAUAGAGCAAUCUCAUAAUUAACUUGUAUACAACUUAUACACUUAAUUUAAUUUAAUGGAAAAGGCAUUCUUCAUGCGUUUGUUCAAGAAAAGUAAAUCAUUAGGGAAAAGAGCAAAAAGAAAAUGAGAAGGCAAAGGUGAUUUAUGCAUUAUUCCUUGGUUGGCAGUUUUUUUUUUUUUUUAAGUCACAAGUAUAUAAGUAGAAUUUUCAAAACUAUGACAAACGGGUCAUAUUGAAUCUCUUGCUCCCAAUUUAUGCAUAGGAAAAUAGUUCUUGAAAUACAGUUAGCUCCAAAUAUAGUAGGGACUAAUGAGCGCUGAUUUUAAAUGUAAGGGAAUAAGUGGUUAAGAAAAAUUAAGACUACGCGUGGGUAAAAAUUGAAGAUAUAUUAGAAGUAUCAACCAAACGUGUUUAUUUUGCAUGUUGGAGAUACACAACUCUAGACUUUUUAGCCAAUUUCCUAAUGUGUGGAUUUUUUGGUAUGAAGUUAUAAGGAUGGGAAAAUUUGGAGAUUAGUUAUUGUUUUUGAUAAUUGAUGAACAACAAAAAGGUAAAAGAGUGAUAAACCACAUAAAUAUGAGGAAAUUAUAAUGGUAAACGCAAAAUUAGGAGGAAAACUUAUAAUUCAGCUUUCUCUGAUCAAUUAACUGUCUAUUUUAGGUAGCAUAUCUUUUAUUCUUGCUCCCACAAAAAAAAAAAUUUUUUGUUGUAGAAUAGCUCUAAUUCUCAUUACUUAAAUCUUGCCAAAUCCCUAUAACACAUAUAUUUAAAAUAUCAUACCUCUAUACUUUUUCUCAUAAGUUGUAAUGAUAUACCUCUUCGAGUAUUCCUAUCUUCCACAUGUUUAGGUGAAAUUUCUCUGAUAGGCUUCGGCUUUCCCCGUUUAAUAGGUCUCCAUAUUUAAGAGGAAGUUUGGGUUUUAUGUUGUUAGAAUUUCAAUUUUUGCUAUUCAUUCUCUUAAAAGAACUUAAAUAACCUAUUAACGAUAAUUUUUAAUGCUUUUAGUUUACAAGAAGAUGAUAGCUAACAAGUAGCAGCAUGUUCUUCAACUAAUGAUCAAAUUACGAGACAGUGAUACUUUAUUACAAGGUACUACUACAUAAGUAGAUGUGUUAUUGCUGUUUCUAAAAAUUGAUAUGGAGUUCAGGUUAGUGAAACCCUGUACGUCUGUCCACCGAUGCAAAAGUUCAAAGGUGUCUCUAAACCAGAGUUUUCUUUUGUACACUCUCUCUUUUUUCUUCUGAUCAAUAAAAGCAUGAAAGUUUACGUGUAAAAAAAAAGUUUUUAUUACAUGUCAAAUAUCUUUAUGAUGAGUAAACCCGACAUGCUUAUUUACUCAUCCCCAAACUACCAAUCCUAAAAUGUCUCAACCCCCGAAAAAUUGCAGUUGAAUUCGCAUCACCUAAAAAAUAGUAGACAGCCUCUUUCGUGCACGUUGACUGACUAAGUAAAAUGCUAAAAGAGAGAGAAAAGGAAGAAAUGUUCAACAGAGUCCAGUAAUAAUACUUCAUAAAACCACUUUCAUUGAUUUGUAAACCAUCUUGGAAAGACCAUUGUUGUUCCAUACUGCAUAUUUGCUCAUGGCUGAGAAUUCUGCUCCCCCAGAAGAAGUUGUAGUGCCUGUUCCAGAAGAAAAAAAUGAAGCCAAAGAAAAAGAAGUCGCAGUGACUAUUCCUGAAGCAAAAAAUGAAGCCGAAGAAAAAGAAGUUGCAGUGCUUAUUUCUGAAGCAAAAAAUGAAGCCAAAGAAAAAGAAGCUAAAGAAAUCCCUGAUGAUACUACCACCACUGCUGCUGCUGCCACUACUAAUACUAGUGUGGCAGCUAAAACAGAUAAAAUGAAGAUUAUUGUGCUUUCAUUAACCGUACUUUCAUUUCUUCUUUCCUUCCCAAUCCUCUUUUCAAUCGCUUGGUUGCUAUACUUGAGACAAUAUGACUGUGAAAACCUUCUUGACUUGCCAAAGUUACAACUUGUGAUUGUCAUUGGUCUAGCAAUUGUCUUCUUUGUGAGCAACUUUGUAGUGAAAUUUGGAAGCCGGUUUCCUAUGCUUGGACUUCUCUUAGUUGUGGUGCCACUGAUUUUGAUGCUGAUUGUUGGUCUUGGACUUGAGGGUGCUUUUGACAUGGAAGCUCGUACCAUACCCGGUACUCCUAGAUGGCUUGAGUUCAGGGUGGAUAAUGACUACAAUUGGAAGGAUAUCAAAUCCUGCUUGUAUGCUACAACGACAUGUAGAGAGUUGGCGUUAAGGUCUUAUACCACCAAAUCCUUUGACUUCACAGCAAGCAAAUUAUCAUCGAUUGAGGUACUAAGCUAAUAAAAAUGUCACAUGAAAUAGUAUACGUGUGCUUGAGUAGACAUUACAGACAAAGAAUUUUUUUGCUGGUCGAAUAUAUAUAUAGGUAUAUGUAAAAUAUAAAUCACUAGUUUUGCAUAUGGCAUAUCCUAAAAACAUGUUGAAUGCUAUUGGCUUAGUAUUGGCUUAGUAUUCUACAUUAGCAGAAUACUUCUUUUUCAAUGGUUCAUACACAUGUUAUUAGGCAGUGUUUGAUACUUUAAUUCAACCAACAACUUAAAAAAAAAAAAAAUUAUGAUCGAAUUUUUUUCAAUAAAUAGUGUGCUUAGUUUGAGUGAUUUGUGUUUUCUUUGGUCAUAUCACUUCUACAAUUGCACCUCUAUUUACAUUUUACAUUUACUCACUGGACUAUUUUUUACAUUGGCGCAAUUGUCUAGUCUGGUUGUUGUCUGCCGCCAACAAGCUGUGGAAUGGAAUACGUGAAUGCCACAUUCUGGAGGAAAGAAGAUUCAACACUGGAUUCGUCUAACCCAUUGGAAAGGGAUUGUGAUCUAUGGAAGAAUGAUGAAACCAUUUUGUGCUACAACUGCCAAGCCUGUAAAGAUGGAUUUCUCAAACCAUUACUUGGUAAAUGGCAGAACAUUGGGACCUUCCUCAUUGUCAUGGCUGCUCUGCUUUCAGCCUCGCAUCUGUUGCUUUUUAUUUCUACAAUGUUGGAGCAACUUCGAGGAUACCAUAAAAGCAAAUUAAUCGCACUUUCAUUUUAACUGACUAAGAGUUAUUAGAUGAGGUUUUGGAUUUGCAAGCUAUUUCAUCCUUUGUUCUUGACUUUGUUGUACGUCUUUUUCGUGUAUAAUCGGGAACAUCUUUGAUGCUAUGGUCAUCCUCUGACAAAAGCAGAAGUUACCAUUUUUUUCAUGCUAUCAAGCUCUUCUUUGAUUGUCAUAUGGGCAAAAGUAUGUUUUGGUUUAUAUACCACGAAUUUUUAAGGAGUAGUAAGUUGUCAUUUCUGGAACUCCAAAAUCUUGGUUUCAUCAGGCAAAUCACACUGACUAAUUAGGAGUGGUCAGUUAUAAAACCUCCACCAUUAGGUGCCAAUGCGACAAAUUUGUUUUAUCAUACACAAGCCAAUUAUCCUUAUUAAGCUUUACCAAAACCAAAACUCUCCACCUCCCAUCCUGAAUUCAUGCACGGUGCAGACUAGGAUGAAACAAGAUGCAAGGAAAACCACAGGAUUGAAGAGACUGCAUCUCUUCUGAGUAUUCAAUGACAUGAAUAUCAGCAUCCAUGGGCGUCUCUUGAUUGAUAAGCACUUUCUUCAAGGUGAUUAAUAUAUUCCUUGCUAUUUUCCAAUCCCAAACCUUAUUAUGCCCCAACCUAACUCCAAGAGAGGGAGACCAAGCGGGAGAAUAGAAGGGAGGAGACAUAAGUCAAAAUAAACUACACAAACAUAUCUGGACUGCAAAAGGACAAUAAAAGAGGAAAGCUAUAUUAUACAGAAGCUAACAACAUGCUACAAUUCUUGUAGUAAAAUUUGGCUAAAGCCAUGAAACAGGUUACGAUAACUUACAAGGAAUUCUCAGAGCUAACGAGUACAAGCCUACAAGCUAGUAUUUGGUAAAUCAUCAACACAAGAUUCUACUAAGUUGCAUACGAAGGGACCCCAGGAUCCAGUUUUGGCUGAUACAUUCACCUCCGAGCAUGCGAGGCAUCAUAUGUUCCCGUCCAUGAAGGAUUCCCAGCAGCACCAGUAACAGCUCCUGCUACAGCUCCAACUCCAUCAGGAGCACCUGCAGUGAUGGAACCACCAUACGGGAUCAUUCCCGGGGAUAUAGGCCCAGCACCCAUCGGAACAGCAGGUCUUCCAUAAUUAUCAACAUAUCCACCACUACCAUGUACAGCAGGUGGGUAGAAUGUAUGUGGAUUGAUGUUGGGUCCACCAUACGUGUAGGGAGCUACACAGACAGCAAGCAUUAUUGCCUAAAGGGAUCACAUUGGAACUUGAGAAAAUAAUAACUUGAGAGGAUUUCAAAAAACAAACUUGCUACCAUGUGCUCUCUUCUCGACACUGAACACCUCGGCACGCAAUCUUUCCAGUUCUCCAUGCAUGCCCACCAUUUCCUUCUCCAUGAUUCGCAUUUUUUCCACUUUUGCUAUGUUUAAACCUUUUUCGUACUCAAAUGUCAUUCUUUUGCCCCAAAAGAAAGAAAUUUGAAUUAAAUGCUUGCACUAAUAUCAGUUAAUGGGUGAUACCGACCAGAAUAAGAAAGCCCAAUAUGUAGUAAUCAGAAGCAACAUUACUUUCCUGUUCACCAGAAAAUUAUUUAUAAAACACACACAUAUCAAGCGCAAAGCAACAGUUUCCAAAUCUAAAAAGAGAUGCAGGGUGAAAAGCACAAGUGAUUGUUUCCACACUUUUCCUGUUACUAACAAGGAUAAAUCACGUUUCGAACUGAAAUUAAGCUUUACCACAAAACAUAGCAUCAAGGAUUUCUUAGUCCAUAACACGUAAAGAAAAGCUCAGAAGUGAAUGUUUCAUCUCAUCAAAAAGAUGAUAUUAAAACAAUAUGAACAGUUGACUCCACUCACCGUAACCUUUGAUGUUCUUUCCUUAAACUAUCGAGUUCAGUAUUCAUUUCCGGUAAUUUUUUGACAUCAGCACGGGCUUUCUCCAGCUCCUGACUGGCCUUUUGUAUUUGAGCAGUCAGCUCUUUUCUAGCUAAUGCCAGGCUCCGUGCCUCAGAAUGUGCUUGCUGCAAGUCCUUCUUUACACUCUCACCAGCUCUGAUGUCAACUUCCAUUUUUGCUAUCUUUUCCAAUAAUACACGAAUCUGGAUAUCACUCUCAGUCUGCAUGCUUCUAAUAUGAUCUGCAAGCUUCUGCAUUUCUUGCUGAGCAGCAACAAGAUCCUGCCUCAAAGCCCCAUGGGAGGCUGCCAACCUAUGAUUAUCCACAGCAAGCUGCUCAAUUUCCGCUGCCUGAACAGCCAAUCUACUAUCUAAAAGCUCAGGAGGAGGAAGUGGUUCCAUCGGACGAUGGCCAGCAGGCAAUGCACCAUGAUGAAUGAAAGCAGGACCUGGUACAGAACGUCCUUCAUGUGCUGAUGGUAUGUGUUUUCUCGAAGUCAUUGGAUUAAAAAAAAGCCUCCUCAAGUAAGGGAGGCAAAGUAUAACUUUCUCCCCGAGACUAUGUAGGAUAAAUUACCUGCAAUAUCUUUAGAAGAUGAACAAUAAGAAAAAGUAAGAAUCUCUUCCAGGUUCCAUCUAGAGAGAGAAACACUUAAAGAUGUACCCAAAAAGCAAGAAGCAGAUACAGGAGAGUACAAAUUAUUCAGCUAUUCGAACAUGCAUCAUAGGACAAAGUGCACUUGAACUCAUGGAGAAUAAUUUGGAAUUCAUAUUUUAGUACACAAAUUGAAGUAUUGAAUAAAAACUUUAAAUAAAAUCAACAACAACAACUAAAGAAAUUAAACUACCAUUGGCCAAUAUCUCAUCUAUUAGGUCAACAUCAGACAAACAAGCAUCAUUUACUGGGAUUAGGCAAAAGAACGUUGUAGUGCCAACUAUAAUCAUAAAUCAGAGUCAAAUCAUUCUGAUUGUAUAGAAAAUUUUCCUACCAAAGUAACCAAGCCAGAUGCCUUUUUCUUCCACGAUAAGCUGACCAGACAAGAAAGCAGAUCCGUAAUCAUUUUCAAACUCAGAAAUCACACAAAAAUUCUUCCUUCUGUGUCCUAGUACAGUUAAGGCCUGGGAUUCCUGAGCAUACUUUCAGAGACAACCAUUUUGGAACAACUAUGUAGUCUCUUUUUUGGGUGGAGAAUCAAGCCAUUUAAAGAAUCACCCCAACAAAUCAGCAUUUUCCCCACUGAGAAGUUGUUCGGUGAUACUGUUAAUUUAACAAUUAGAAUUCCAAGUUCUUUCCUGAGAAUCAAUAAUUAGCAUGGUCAAAACUCCAUUAUCUAGUAUUUGUCCUAUUACAUGACAAGAAGUCCACCUAAAUGAGCAUAAGGAUCUAGGCAUUGAGCUCAGGAUCUAGGCAUUGAGCAUUCUCCACCCUCAUCGAAGUUCAUAAUAAUCAAGAAGUUACCAUCACCAUUAUUGCAUGAUGAUAUAGUGUCUAUGGAAAUUUUUGCAUUGUAGAAGUAACAAAGAAACGUUAAAGAAAAUCACAAACUCUCUCUUUCAACGACUAUUAAUCAUCAUUUGUCACAAGAUAGCAAGUAGCACAUUAAAGCAUGCCUCAAGCGUCAUUAACAUGUUAAUAUUCAGAAAGUUUUAAUAUGUUGAUUAUAUGUUCAACACAUGCAGUGUAAAGAUCCAUAUCCUACAAUGAACCAGAAUUUAAACGUACCAUUUAUAAAAGUUGCCACGUUUCACACAUCGGCAUCUAUGAAGCCUAGUUGCCAUGCUUCACACACUGCCAUCCUGCUUUUAGCACACGAUUCUACAUUACCACAAUUUCUUAUUACCUAGACUUCUCAAUGGCACUUCCUAAAGAUAGUCAAAAUAUUUAAGAUCGAACUUCGCUCAUAUUUCCCCGUAAUCUGAAUUUGUAUCAUGCUUCCCAAUAACCUAAAAGCAACCCAAAAAACGUUUCAAAAAAAUCAUAACUUUAUCCACAGUGUCCUGCUUUUCACGAAAUUAUGCAUCACCAGUAUUCCCUAAAUUUUUUUCCAAGAGCCCAGUGAAAAAGCUUAACAUUGAAGAUACCUCAUACUUUCCUAUAAUCUAAGAACAACAGAAAAUAAUAAUACAACAAAAAACAAAACAAAAAAAUGAAAAAAUGAAAAAAAAAGGAUCAAAACUGUAUGUUUCUUGUGCUCCUCCUCUAAUUUCAAACCAAAGCCACAAUUGCAAAUGAUCAAGAUAUGCCUAUUUCACAGAAGGAUGCAGCAAAAAGCUGCUGUCUCUCCUGAGCAGUACUCCUUCCGCAUGCAUAACCAAUCAAUGAUUAAUGCAACACAAACCCACGUAAAAAUCUCCUGUUAAGGCUAAAAUCAAGUGUCCCUUUUCCUUUUGCCAUUAGAAUGACAAUUUUACGCUAAAGAAACAAGAAUUGAACCCUGAACCAUGAAAAUUUUUUUCAAGACAAAUUUUGGUUUCUUUAAGCAAAUCGAAACAAGCCCAGAUAAAGAAAACUGAAAGUAAGUAAUUACCUGUUCUCAAGACUGAUAAAUCGGAGGGUUCACUCCAACCAGAGCUCAUGAAUUGGGAAAAAUUGCAGCAUUAGGAACCCACUCUCGUGGAGCCAUGCCCAUCAUCUAAUUGCACUCAAAUCGUGGACUCGGGUCACCCAAUUGUGGGCUUUUCUAACUCAAAACACCUAUGGCCUUUCAAGGGAUAAUUAAACAGAGGGCAGGAACAGCCCAAUAGGUGUUGGGUUGACGAACCCUGGAGUGUAUUAAGAGUGGAAAGUAAAGAAAUAGGUGUCAUAAAAUUUUGCAGUUUUUAUUAUUAUCUUCUAGAGCCCUAUAAUUUUUAAAAAAAAAAAAAAAUUUCCAACAGGGGAGGAUGGGACCUAAGAAGCCGUGUAAGAGUAAGGGGAUUUGAAUUCAGAACUUCUAAUUAUAAGAUGGAAGUGGAAUAUUUUUUAAUUUGGGUUAAUACAUAAUAAUAAUCCAAUUUUUUGGAUAGUUAAUUUGUUCUUCUUUUUUUUUUUAGUUAAGUUUUUCUUACAUUACACAUUCUAUUGGAAGGUACUUGUAAACUUUUACUUUUACAAAAAUGUUUUCCUCCUAUUGCCAUUCCUGUUUGUGGACUAAAAAGUCAAAACCAAACGAAUUGAUAUUGGAAAAACACUCUAGUAAGAGGAUCAUGAGAACAUAUGGAAGAUACUCAUUCCGUCUCAUUUUGAUAGUCUUAUUUUCCUUUUUCAUCUGUCCUAAAUUAUAGUCCAUUUUCUAAUUGAAGAAUGUAGUUAUCUUUUAAUUUCUCUAAAAUACCCUUAGUCAAUGUAGGUUGUUAUUAGUAUAAACUACCUUAUUUAACAUAGAUUGUUAACCUACCCCAUAUAAUACAUUUAGAUUUAAUGUGAAAUAAUAUAAAAUGAGGAUUCAUUCUUUCUUGACCAUCAAUUCAAGUUUUCAUGAAUAAUUAAUAUAAAGUUGUACUUUAUUUAAUGUAAGGGUAUUUUAGGAAAAUAGCAACCUAAUUUUGUUUUUCCAACAAAGUUAACUGCUUUUUCUUAAAUUGUGUGAAAGAAAAACUAGAACUAUCAAAAUGGGACAGAGGAAGUAAUAUUUUUAAACUAAGGCUCAUAAAAACUAUGGCUCCGUUUGGAUUACCUGUUUUUGGGGUUGUUUUUCAAAAACAGCACUGUAGUAUUUCGUUUUUGAAAUACAAGUCCGUUUGGAUUAGUUGUUUUUGAGAUUGUUUUUCAAAAACUAUAUGAAAAACUUUUACUGUAGAUGUUUUUUGGAUUAUUUUUAGAGAUAUUUUUAAAACAUAUUUUGGGUAUUUUUAUAAUUUAUAAUUUUUAUAAUUUUAUUUUUAUAUACAUUUAUGCAUUUAUAAUACAUUUAUAAAUAUUUAUAAAUAAAUAUAUUUAUAUAUUCGCUAAAAAAUAUAUAAAUGUAUUAUAUUAUAUAUAAUACAUAAUAUAAAUAUAUUUAUAAAUGUAUAAGUGUAUAUUAUUAUAAAUGUAUAAAUUAUAAAUGAAUAUUAUAUAAAUGUAUAAAUUAUAAGUUAUAAUUUUUAUAUUUUUAUAUAAAUAUACAUUUAUGCAUUUAUAAAUAAAUAUAUUUAUAUAUUUAUAUAAAAAUAUAUUAUAAAUUUAUUGUAUUAUAUAUAAUACAUAAUAUAAAUAUAUUUAUAAAUGUAUAAGUGUAUAUUAUUGUAAAUUUAUAAAUUAUAAAUGAAUAUUAUAUAAAUGUAUAAAUUAUAAUGUAUAAAUUAUAAUUUUUAUAUUUUUAUAUAAAUAUGCAUUUAUGCAUUUAUAAUACUUAUAAAUAAAUAUAUUUAUUUAUUUAUAUAAAAAUAUAUAAAUGUAUUAUAUUACAUAUAAUACAUAAUAUAAAUAUAUUUAUAAAUGUAUAAGUGUAUAUUAUUGUAAAUUUAUAAAUUAUAAAUGAAUAGUACAUAAAUGUAUAAAUGUAUAAAUUAUAAAUUAUAAAUUAUAUAUUUUUAUAUAAAUAUACAUUUAUAAAUAUUUAUAAAUAAAUAUAUUUAUUAUUUAUAUAAAAAUAUAUAAAUGUAUUAUAUUACAUAUAAUACAUAUUAUAAAUAUAUUUAUAAAUGUAAAAGUGUAUAUUAUUAUAAAUGUAUAAAUUACAAAUGAAUAUUAUAUAAAUGUAUAAAUUAUAAUUUUAUUAAUAUAUAUUAAUAUUAUGUAUAAAUGUAUUAAUAUAAUUAAUAUAAAUGUACAAAUGUAUUAAUAUUAUGUAUAAAUGUAAAAUUAAUAUUAUGUAUAUUAAUAUAAAUAUAUUAUAAAUGUAUUAUAUUAUGUAUAAUACAUAAUAUAAAUGUAUAUUAUAAAUAUACAUUAAUAUAUAUUUUUUGUAUAAAUGUACAUUUAUAUAAAUGUAAUAUAUAUAUUAUAUUAUAUAUAAUUUAUAUAAUAUAUAAUAUUCAUAUAAAUAUAUUAUAAGUAUGUAAAAAUAUUUUUUAAGUAAAAUAAAAUAUUUAUAAUAUGUAAAAAUAAAUAUAUAAAUAUUUAAUAUAUAUAAUAUACAUUAAUAUUAAUUAUAAAUAUUAUAAUAUUAUAAAUAUGGUGUUUAUAUAAUAUUUCAAUUUGUAAUAUUUAUUGUAUAUUUCAUUAUAUAAAUAUUCAUAUAAUAUAUAAUAUAUAAUUUUCAAUUUGUAUAAUAUACAUAAUAUUGUAUAUAUAUAAUAUAUUAUAUUAUACAUUAUUACAUUAUUACAUAUUAUGUAUAUUAUAUAUUAUACCAACAUUAUUAGACAUUAUUAUACACAAUAAUGUACAAAAUAAUAUUAUACAUUAAUAAUGUAUAUAUUAUAAUAUAAUGUACAUAAUAUAUUAUGUAUAAAUAUUUACACAUUUAUGUAUACAAUAUUACAUAUUAUGUAUAUUAUAUUAUGUAUAUUAUAAUAUAUUAUGUAUAAUAUUAAUGUAUAUAAAUAUUUAUAUAAUAUAUAAUAUAUAUAAUUUUCACUUUGUAUAUUUCAAUUUAUAUUAAUAUAAUAUAUAUAUAUAUAUAUAAUAUACAUAAUUGAAAUAUACAUAUGUAGUUGUUUUUGAUAUAAUGUUUGGAUAUGGUGUUUUUGGAGUUGUUUUAGAAAUACACAUUUACUGUAGCAUUUGGGAUGUGAAAAACAGUUUUUCAAAAACAGCUCCAAAAACAAGGAUCCAAACAAAUUAAAGUAGAGGGUUAAAGAUAGGCUUAAAGCUCUCACACCUAAGUGACAUGUUAAAUGGCAUUUCAUGGAUUCACUUAGUUCAUGGGAAGGAGGAGUUAAUUCAUGAUGCAUCCAAGUGUACCAUCUCUAAAAUAAUAAUAAUAAUAAUCUAACGGAGACAUUUGAAACUACAAGCUGUUCAGCAAUUAGACAUCCAUUUUCCAAUCCCACUUACUUAGUGCGAAGAAUUAGGGCCGGCAAGGAGUGGACGCCUGUCGAAAUAAGCAAAAUCGCUGGUGUUUCAACUGAUUAUAUUAGCCACACAAAAUGCUGCAAUGCCAUUCUUGAGUAACAAGUCAGCUCCUCCAUUCGAAAAAUCACCAAAUGUUUCCUUUGUGCUUCACUGCUUAGUUUACACGUACUAAGGUUUCAUCAUUCAUUGUAAAAUGCACCAACUUUGUAGUUAGCUCACCAACAGCUAUAAAUAGCUGAAAUUGCAUGCAAUUAGACAUGUAGAAACUAAACCUUAUUCUACUCGGAGGAUUCUACCAGCACCUUGUAAGUUACAACCGCAUCACCCUUGACCGACUUUGUCUAUCAUUUUCUAGCCACCAGACAUAAAAUUAGACGAUCUUGAUUAGCUAUAGACUUUGGUUGUGAGAAAUGGCACCAAUCAAGUCCUUAGCAUUAGUUGCAUUUCUUCUUGCAUGUUCUGCUCUUAUAUCUGAGUGCAGGGUGGCGAGGAAAGACUUGGGAGUGGAUCUUGGUGGUGGUAUAGGAGUUGGAGUCGGAGCAGGAAUAGGGUUGGGCAUAGGAGGAGGUAGUGGUGCGGGUUCCGGGGCUGGUUCAGGAUCUGGUUCUGGUUCAGGUUCCCAUUCUAGCUCGAGCUCAUCAUCAAGUUCAUCAGCUUCUUCUUCAGGGUCGGGGUCUGGAUCAAGUGCAGGAUCAGAGGCGGGUUCAUAUGCAGGAUCUAGAGCUGGGUCCGGGUCUGGAUCAAGUGCAGGCUCCGAGGCUGGUUCAUACGCAGGAUCUAGAGCUGGAUCUGCAUCGGGGCAAGGACGUGGUCGUGGUUCAGGAUCUGGUGCUGGGCAUAAUUAAAGACUCUAGCCUUGUUCAAGAUUAUUGAAGUGGAAGUGGCAGAGAGUAAAGAUUCUCAUGCAAAGCCUACUAGUAACAGUAAAAUUUGCAGCAAAUAAUUAUCGUCUUGCAUCUAAAUAAAUUAUGAGUAGCACAACCGCUUAUCUACCACCUAUUGUAAAAGUAGAUGUGUGUGUCUUGAACUCUUACUUCAGUUGUAAUCAUUAGUUAUGGAUUGUUUAACAGCUGCUUUUUUUUUUUCCUCCAAGUUUAUGUUACCUCAUCUCGUACAACGUGAGUUUCUGUUGGUUUAUUGUUCAAUGAGGUUCUAAUAUACACCUGUUUAAUUAGGCGUAAUACCAGUUGAUCAGAUCUCAAAAUAAUCAUCAAAUAAAAAAAUGAUGAAAUUAAACUAUAUGAGAAAUAAAGCAUGGAAGAAAAGAGGUGGAAGCUAGUUAUAAUUUGUUCAAUUUUUCCCUAACUUCGUACUGCUAUUUACAGGACAGUCGUGAAAACGAGACUUCGGAAGACAAAAACAAGAUACUUGGCCAAUCUGGGAAAAUGUAUCACUUAGGUACCAGGGACAAGGGGAGGAUACAGGAGAAUCCCAAUAAGAAACAGAACAAAUUCGGCUCCUGAAUUUAUGUUGUUGUCUUUUCAGUACCAGGAGACCUUAAAGAUAAAUCAUAAAUGUGCUUAAACCUAGUGCUCUUGGCAUAUUCUCCCAUCGUGAUCUUUAUAAUGAUGGAGAUCACUAUUUUUUUUUGGUGAAAAUAGGGAUUAAAUAUUAAUAAACAACAGAGUUUUGCCCUAUCUAUUACAAAGCAAAGGAGAUAGUGCGGGGAAAACAGAUCCCUUUCAAGUCCUCAUCAUAGACAAAAGCGAGUUCUUGAGGACAAUUAGCAAAAGUUACAAAGUUGGAUUGUAAUCUGCCUCCCAUUCUUGCGAGUGCGUCCGCGCAUCUAUUUGCCUCCCGGUAAAUGUGGGAUAUUUUAACAUGCCGCAGCUGCGAAAGGAGGGAUCUGCAAUCCGAAAUGAUAGAGUUCAAAAGGUGAUUAGGAUUGGCAACAGCUGUUAACAAAGUAAUAAUAGCUUCGCAGUCAACUUCAACUUCAAGUUGAGAAAUUUUUAAGGAAAGGGCUAUUUCUAGUCCAUCUCGGAUACCCCAACAUUCCGCCAGCAUGCUGUUUGUAGAACCUAAGUUUCUGCAGUAUCCUUUAAUCCAACAUCCGGAGGCGUCUCUGAUAACACCUCCAGCUCCCGCUGGACCUGGGUUUCCUAAGGCUGAGCCGUCUGAAUUGAGCUUGAACCAAUGGAGGAUUGGAGGAAUCCAUCUGAUAAGAAUAUGGGAUUUUCUGCGAGGGGGGUGGCCAGAAUUUGGGCCAAGGGAGUAGAACUCAGUGGCCAACUUGAUGCUGGUUUUGGUUGGAGGAGGUUGUGUUCUGUUGGGCUCGAAAAUCUUUUUAUUCCUGGAUUUCCAAAUGGUGGAGCAAGUAAAGGCAAAGAGUGUGCCCCAAGGAAUAUUGUAGAAAGGGGAGGGUGUGGAAAGUUUACAACCUUCCCUAAUCCAGAUGUGAAAAGGAAUGUGUAGAGUGGAUAGAUAGUAGUUGGGAUUGAGCUCCAUCCAAACAGCUUGGGCGUGGACACAUUUGCGCAAGACAUGAUUAGUAUCCUCUAUCAGUCCUGGGCAGAAAGGGCAGAUAUUAUCAGGGAGGAUGUUUCUCUUAUGAAGGAGGUAUCUUGUUGCUAGUUUGUCUUGAGAAGCUAACCAGAGGAAUAAUUUGGUUCGAUGGGAUGUGUGAGUAGUCCAAAUCCAAGUGAAAGACUGGCUUGGAGGAUGGGGUGUUUGGACAUUGGGUUUGGCCUGAAUAUAUAGCAAACUAGUGAUCUCAUAUGCAGAUUUUAGACUGAACUCACCAUCAGGAGAAUUCCUCCAUAUAAGGUUGUCUGCUUGUUUAGAAUGGUGAGGUCUAGGAAUAGCUUUUAGCAGGUCGGUAAUGGAAGGGGGUAGAUGGAAGGAAAUAUUAUUGAAAUUCCAAUUACCAUUGCUGUCAAAAAGAUCUGAUAGGAGUAGUUGAUCUUCCUCUGGUAGGAGUGGUCCUUCAAUUAAGGAUCUGAGGGUGCUUGCUGAGAACCAUUUUCCAGACCACACUUUAAUUGUUUUACCAUCUCCUAUGUUCCAACCCAACCCUUGGUUGAAGAUGUUGUUACCGUGUAUGAUAUUCCUGAGAUUUAUGGAACCUCUAGAUUUGCAGAAGCUAAGAGGGGAUUCUUUCAAAGGUUGGUUUCUAUGUAAGUAGAGAUCUGAAAGAAUUUGAACCCAAGGACGAUGUGUGUUUUUCAUCAUCUGCCAAUUGAGUUUGGCCAAGUUAGCUUUGUUCAAAAGGGCUGAUUGUCUCAAUCCCAAACCACCCUCCUUUUUGGGGAGGGUAACAGUUUCCCACUUAAUCAAGUGGAGUUUUUUCUUCCCCUCUGUGGAGCCCCAGAGGAAAUUUUUCUGUUCUCUAUCGAUGGCAUCACAGAUUUUUUUUGGGAUAUGUGCUGCUUGGAAGAAAUAGGUAGGGAUGGAAGAUAUGCAUUGUUGGAUAAUUGUCUUUCUCCCAGCAAAGGACAACAGGUUUGCUUUCCAGCCUUGGAGUUUGGAUUGAAUUUUUUCCAAAAGGAAGUGGAAGGUUUUGGCUGAUGCUUUCUUCACACUAAGUGGAAAGCCAAGGUAUUUUCCUAGGUCUCGGGUACCCUGAAUGUUUAGAGUCCUGGUGAUAGAGUUUUUAGUGAAUUCAAGGGUGUUUGGGGAAAAUAGAAUCCUUGACUUGGAGUGGUUGAUACGGAGGCCAGAGAGGUCCCCAAAAAUGUUCAGAAUAUUUUGGAUAGUGGUUAUAGAGGUAUCAUCUGUCCUUGAGAAGAGGAUGAUGUCAUCUGCAAACAGACAAUGUGACAGACAAUGUCUAGAUCUCCCAAACUUGAGAGGGGUCCAGUUGUUACCAUCCACUUCUUUGGUGAUAGCCAUUGACAGGUACUCCAUGCAAAUAAUGAAGAUGUAUGGGGAUAAAGGGUCUCCUUGUCGAAUGCCUCUAGAAGGGGAAAAAAAGUUUGUUGGGGAUCCAUUUAUGAGUAUGGCCAAAUUGGUAGAUGUAAUGCAAUGAAGAAUGAGGUUGAUGAGGGAUGGGGGAAAAUCAAAGAAAGUGGGGGCUUGAUGAAUAAAAGACCAUUCAAGACUAUCAUACGCCUUAUGAAGAUCAAGCUUGAUGGCACACAACCCAUAUUUGCCCUUUUUAUUUUUAAGCCUGUGAAUGGCUUCUUGGACAAGCAUGAUGUUAUCUGUUCCACUUCUACCCGAGAUGAAGCUGGAUUGGAGAGGGGAGAUGAUGGUUGAAAGGAUUGGUCUAAGUUUAUUAACAAUGGUCUUGGCUAGUAUUUUAUAAGUGGUAUUGCAGAGUCCUAUGGGUCUAAACUGCUGAAUGAUAUCCGGGUUGUCAAGUUUGGGAAUCAAGCAAAUUAAAGUAUCGUUAAUCCCGACUGGAAGGGGCUUUUGAUUGUAAGCAUCAUGUAUGAAUUGGGUGAUUGAAGGAGCAAGGAAAUUCCAAAAUUUCUGGUAGAAAAUAGGGUGAUAGCCAUCCGGCCCAGGACAUUUGAGAGGUUUCAAAUCAAAAACAGCCUUUUUAAUUUCUAGGAUGGUUGGGAGGGUGACUAGGGAUAUUUUGGUUUCUUCCUCCAGAUAAGAUUUCUGAAAAGGGAAAUUCUGUGGGUAAAAGGAUGACUGAGAGUGGUGAGAAGUAAAUAGGGAAGAGAAGAAAUCAAGGAUAUGGUUUUUAACAACAUCACUAUUGGUCAGCCAUUUACCUUCAUUAUCUCUCAAGGAAACAAUUUUAUUCCGUUUCCUUCUACAGAGGGUAGAAGUUUGUAGAAAUUUGGUAUUGAGGUCAUCUGAUAUAGCAUAGUCCAAUCUAGAUUUCAUAAUCCAGAGGGAUUUUUCCUGAUGAAGGAUUUCCUCAUACUCAAAAAGCAACUGUUUUUCUAAAGACUCUAGGAAUAUAGAAUGGUGAGAUUGCAUCGCUUUUUGAGCACCUUGGAGUCUGGCUAGGAUCCUCUUUUUCUUAAAGAAAAUAUUCCCAAAGGUCUUUUUACUCCAGGAAAGGAUGUUAGAAGUGAGGUUUUCGAUAGAAUUGGAGAUAACAGAGGGGGGCCCAGACCAAGAUUGAUGAAGGAGUUGUGGGAAUUCUGGGUGAGACAUCCAAAAUUUCUCCAGUCUAAAAGGUCUGUUUAAGGAAUUACUAAUAGCCGGUUGGAGGUCGAGAAGAAUUGGACAAUGAUCUGAAUGAAUUCUUGCAAGGUGGUGUAUUUGUGCCUCAGGAAAAAGGUUAAUCCAUUCAGGGUUACAAAAGGCGCGAUCCAGCCGUUCGUAAAUAUGGCCUAGAUCCCUUCUAAAACACCGCCAGGUGUAACGAGGCCCAUUGAACCCUAAGUCUAACAUGUUGUGUGUGUGUGUGUAGAUGUAGACACACACACACCAGGCUUAAUAGGAUUCUGGCAGCAUCACAGAUUUCUCCACUAAAGAGGGAUCCCUCCACGAUCACGGUGGUCAUGGCGCCGCCGCCAAGGAAUCACUGGAAAAUCCGAUACAUCCAUGAAACCCCAUCCAUCCAUCCACGAUCCUCACAGUAGAUUUCACCCACCGGAGUAGCAAGCGAUGACAACGGCCAAACACCCAGUAGAGCCUCCAAUACCAGACCCUGCCAUUUCUCCCCAAACUGAUAUUCAUGUAAGUUCAACAACCACACCUGUAAACCAUAGUAUCUCCCAGACACAACUUCAACUUCCCUCACACUCUGUUUCGCCUGAAAUUCAUAAUUCCACUUCCAUCCUCCAUGCCCCAAAGUCCCCAAAACGCUCCUACAAGGACUGCCUCAUAUCUGAUAAAACCUCUUCAAUCAUUCAACUAGACCUCACCCAAACUGAACUAGCGUCCCCUAUAAACUUUUCUGAAACCCAUACCCAAACCGGGUCCCUUACCAUAGAUUUCCCCCC
rnacentral:lncRNA from 1 species